rnacentral:lncRNA from 1 species
CGUUCUUGACAUUUUCUGUUUGGGUAUUUUUAUUUUCACAGGGGUAAUUUGAUCCAUGGUUUAAUCCUGAGUCGAAGGGCUUAUGCAAAUUGCCUCUGCCCAACCCGAGGCUGCGCCACAUAUAAAUACAAUUUCCCAUGAAACUAUCAGAGCAAGUGUUCCAAGAGAACCAAAGACGUACCGACUUGAGUACUUAUUAUACGCUGCUGUGGAAAAAGUGCAUCCAAGUGUUCAUUCCAUCCACCUUUCAUGACUUUAGUUAGCCCUCCCAGCAGGCAAACAAGGUUGAGCAAAGAGAUAGUCACGAUGAUCACAUAUUCUGGAUCCGACGACCCAAAUUCCAUAAUCUCUUGCUCAGACCUCUUGGACUCGUCUUCAUCGCUUACCUUUGGUGAAACCACAAAAUUCAUCUUUGAUAGUCCAAGUAACUUCCGGAGAUUGUCAAGGACUCCAAAGAGGUAUGAGGUUAUUCUUUUGACCAACCACAUCCUCUAUCCAUUCCACCAUCCUUUCAGCGUGUCUACAGAUGAUAGUGCCUCAUAUAGGUUGUACACAGUGGUGGAGCUCGACAAAGAUUGUUGAGGGGUCAAACACAGAGUUAUGAGGGGCCAAAAGGGCAUAUUCUGCUAAAACUAUGAUAAUUUUUAAAGUUUUAGUUCACGAAUUAAUGAUAUUUCAUAUACUUUCUCUAGGGAAGGGGGGGGCAUAGCCCCCUUUGGCCCUAGUGAAGCUCCGCCAUGGGUUGUACAUGUUCUUCACACAGAAGACAUAUACGAAGGGUGCGUAAUUUGUGUUGAGGACAUGUAAUGGUGUGUAAGCCCAAGUGGAUAUCCUAUGUUGAACCUGUCAAUCUAUCUAUCUAUCCUAUGCUAUGUCAUGUGAUGGUAUUUUGCACUUCAGCUUUUAUCAUUCUAUCCUAGUUAUAUUGAUGUUGGAGUUUUCAGUAAAAAUGAUGCAAUGAUGUAUGAUAUCAAUCUAUCUACACUUAACAGUUGAAUUGACUAGGAAACUGAGAAUAAGUAGUGGGCAUCAUUGAUCAACAUAUUAUUAUCAGACAAGGUAUCAUAUUACCAUCCAUCAUCCAUAGAUAACCAAAAGAGAAUAUAGUUUUGAAGUACUUUCUUACAAUCAUCCAUCAUCCAUACAGAACCAACAUAGAUUAUUGCAGUACAUAGCCUAAACAAAAGCAAGUUGGCACCAUUCAUGAUCAUAUGAAUAACAAAGACAGUAUGAUCAGGAAGGUACCAAACACUUUUACUUUGGCAACCUACCUAAAGAUAUCAAACAUUGAUGAUUUGACAGUCUUUCUUGGACAUUCAGCUUCAUUCUGGCUAGCUUUUCUUUUCGCAGCCAACCUUUUCUCCUGUUCUCUCUGUGCAAUUGCCAUCAUUCUCUCCUGUGCAGCAGCAAGCUUCUUCCUGCAAUUGCCAUCAUUCUUGUGCAUGUCCACUAUGUAAUCCAUUCCUCUAUCACCUGCUAGGAAUAAGCCAUCUCCUGAUCCCUCCACAUAGCAUGUGUUUGCAAAUUCUGUUACCUUCUCAACCUUCUUCCUGAUCUUUGGACAUGCAUCUCCUUGCCAUUUAUCUGAAUCCAGCUGUUUGUUGUAAUGCCUUGUCAUAAGUUGCCUGUAAAUCCUGUCAACCAUGCUAAGUAUUGGUAGUUCCCUUGCUUCCAGGAUAUACCUGCAUUUAACAGCAAACCAUGGUAAGUAUUGGUAAUUCACUACAUUGAAAAGCAUUUUGGCAAACUUCACAAAUGUACCUGUUGAAAACUUCACAAAUGUUGUUAAGCAGAAUAUCACAUUUUGGCAAGUCACUUCGAAAAGCCUUAACCCAAGUUUGUGGUUCUAGCUCAUGCAGCAUUUGUAUGCCUCAACAUUAAGAACCUUCAUCUCCUCCAUGCCCUGUUCAUACAACUGCAUUGUAUUGCUCCUAGCUAUCUUCCAGAGUUGAUUCUUCAAGAUGUCACCUUUGAAAUGUUGUUGAAAGUUUUGCCACAUGUGCCUAACACAAUAUCUGUGUUCUGACUCAGGGAACAGUUCUUCAACUGCAUUGAUGAGCCCCUACAAUUGCAAAGCAACAUAACCAUUCAGAAGCUAUUCACAACCAUUCACAUAGUAAUGACACAUAAACUUUGAAAAAGAAAGAUGGUACUUACCUUUUGUUUGUCUGACAUGAUAGUCCAAGGUUCAGUGUUUAUGAUGCCUAGGUCCCUUUUGAGUGUGUCAAGAAACCAUGACCAGUUAGGGGUGUCCUCAACUUCAACCACAGCAAUGGCAAUUGGAAAUAUGCAGUUAUUUGGAUCUACCCCAACAGCUACAAGCAGUUGUUCUCUGUAUCUAGUUUUAAUGUGGCAACCAUCUAGGAAGAUGACUGGUCUACAACCCUCCAGAAAUCCUCUCUUGCAAGCAUCUAGACACAUGUACAACUUGUUGAACCUAGCAUUUUCAUCUAAUGAAACAUAGAAGGAUGAGCCAGGGUUGCUUCUCCUAACCUCAUUAGCAUAAUUCCAUAGCAGCUUGUACUGCCCUUUCUCAUCACCAUAAAUAAUUUUCAUAGCCAUUCUCCUUGCUCUUUGAAGUUUCAUCCUAGUGGGUGUCAUAUGCCAUUCUUUUUGAACAACCCUUGAGAAAUUCAUCAAGUUCAUAUCUUGAUCAGCCCUAAAGCUCUCUAGGUAUUUCAUUGCUAGGAAUCUUGAUGUGAAAGCCCUAAUCUUCCACUUCUUGCUGCAUGUGUGCUCAUGCACAUAUCUCUUCACCAUGAAAGCCUUAGUUCUACUUGUCGUGGUUCUAAGUCUGAUAGUAGAAUGGGGGGUAGGUAUGGAGAGGCAAGAUCCUAGCUAUGGAGUAGUUGUACACACGAGUGUUUUACGAGUUCAGGCCCUUCUCGGAGGAAGUAAUAGCCCUACGUCUCGGAGCCUGGAGGCGGUCGACUGGUUUCUGUAUAUAUGAGUUACCGGGGUGCGAACCCUUUACACUGAGGAGGGGGGUGGUUUAUAUAGAGUUCGCCAGACCCCUCCGGCCCUCAGUUAUGCAGGGUUUAAAGUACAUUAAGACAGGGGGUUACCUUGUAACGCCCUCAUAAAGUGCCAUGAAGACUAUUAAAGCUACUUAAUGAUAGACCGUUGCGUGCUGAGUGACUUUAGGUCUCCUGGCCGUCGAGUGGUUAGCUUCAUGGUCGAGUGGCUAUCUUCAUCGUCGAGUGUCCUUGAGUUCGUCGAGUGAAGUCCCUCUUGGUCGACUGGAAGGUAGCUUCUUCUAAGGAUGUCCUUGGGUAGGGUAUCCUAGAUGGGUCCAUGACCCUACCCUAGGUACAUGACUUCAUCAUUAGCCCCCGAAUGGAUCGAGGUCCGAGUGAGGAAGGGGUUGAUAAUUUUCUCCGACCUAUUUCCCGUGCUCUGAUUAUGUCGUAUCCUGGAUCAGCGAUUUUUCUUUUUUGGCGUUGGCAUUAACUUUUCCUUCAGUCGCCUUGAUCCAUUCUUUUCUUCUGUCGAGUGAACUUUUGAACUUAGUGAACUUCCGAGCGACGGAUCGUAGGAAAUCUAUCGUCUGACAGAUUGAUCUGCCAUUAGCGGAUUUUGUGGGAUCCGAAUUUUGGGAAGCGCGUGAAGCGGGGAGGACCACGGUACUCGGAUGGGAUAAGGCGUGGACGCCUCGAUUUCCGCACCGCCUUUUUCGCCAUUUAUCAUGCGUGCGCGACUGUUUCGGGAUGUGACAGGACCGCCCGGGCCUACUUGUCAGCCACUCGGAAGCGUCCUUAUAUAAAGCGCCGGGCGAGGGUUUUUGAACAGUGCCUUCUCAUUCUCCUCUCUGCCCUCUUUGCCUCCGCCCGUUGUGCCUGCUCUCGCCUCCGCCUAUCCACUCCUCGCGUGCUUCACCGGCAACAAUGGUGAAGGAGAAGACGGCGGCCUUGGAGCGCGCGAAGAAGGCGACGGCGAUGGGGAAAGCGAAGGGGAGAGCGUCCAGUCGGGGCGGAUCUUCGUCAAGGUCCCGCCUGCCAAAAGGUUGGGUCUAAGGGGAUUGGAUCCGUUUGACCAUCACCGAGACGGAUCUCAAUGACCUGGCCAACAAGGGUCUGAUCCCCCACGGGUCAGCAAGGCUUCCGGGGACCGAGUGUCAACCGCAGCCGCAGGAGAGUGAGUGCGUUCUCCUAGCCACUCAUGUAGACCGUGGAUUCUCUCUGCCGCCGAGUGUUUUCUUCCGAGGGUUUCUGAACUUCUUUGGGGCGCAAUUCCACCAUUUCACUCCCAAUUCCAUUGCCUAUCUUGCUUCUUUCGUGUCCAUGUGCGAGAACUUCCUGGGUUGUCGACCACACUGGGGUCUCUUUAAGCACAUAUUCACCUGUCGCUCACAGAGGUGAAAAAGGGAGUCCGGAUGAUGAGAGGACUAAGGUUAUCCAGAUGUGCGGGGGUCUUGGGAUUCAGAUGAGGAAUAAGAGUACUUUCCCGGCCAUGACCCUUCCUGAGUCGGUCAGAGGGUGGCAGUCGACUUGGUUCUACUGCCAAGACGAGUCGACGUCGGGGCAGUCGACUGGUCUCCCUCCGUUCUCCAUGGACCGAGUGGACAAACCCUCUUCUCUGAAGGUGCUUCCUGAGGAGAAAGCUCAGGUAAAAAUGUUGAUGGAGCACGUAGUCCAACUUGUUAGGGACGGAGUGACGGGUAUGGAUCUUCUGGAGGUCUUCCUUAGACGGCGCAUACAACCACUUCAGUACCGAGGCCACCCGAUGUGGUUGUACUGUGGUACCGAAGACACCACUCGGGUCCAUCCAGAAGCGGUCGACGAUGCCACACUGGAGAGGUGGGUGGCCGCAAUCACAGGGAAUAAGGACAACCCUCGAGGGGCUAGGAGGAUCCCACCACUCGACUGUACCUACACACCGGACACGGUAUGACCACUUAUCUCCAAUUGUAAUCUUGCUUUAUUCAUUCUACUUCGCUGCGAAUUGGUCGAUUGAUCUUUGUUUUGUUUUGUUGCCUGACAGGCCACCACUGAGUUAUACUCGAUGCCCAAUGGAGCGCAAAUGCCGACUGAGGAGGAGGAAGGAAGUGGGGGCGAAAGCCCAGAGGAGUGGGAUUCGGAUGCUGACGACGAUGAUGAGGGUGAUGACUCUGGUGAGGAGGAAGAGGAGGAGGAGGAGGAGGAAGUUGUACCUCCUCGCUCGGAAAGACGCUCGAAGCUUGUCCAUGAUCCCGUGGUCGAGCGUGGUAAGGGGGUCGCAACCGUGACGCAGUCGUCCAAGCGCCCUCGGACUACUUCUCCGGUGCCGACUGAGAAAGCUCUGAAGCAAUCUCGAGUGGCGCCGUCGAAGUCGGCGAAGGUCUUGCCGAAGAUGAAGAUGGUGAUCCCCACUAUCUCAGGGUAAUGGUGUAGCUUGAGUUUUUCUGUUCCACAUGAACUUAUUCUUGGUCGACUCAUGAGCUAAUCGACUGACUUCUGGAACUGCAGUGCUGCUACUUCUGAUACCUCGGUCAGAGCUGAAGAUCAGGAGAUGGAGGAUGCUGUUACUUCGAAACCUGGUAUGACUCUUGUAGUUCUGUCUUCAGUCGAUUGGUUUCUUGUCUCUAAUUUUGAUUCUUUUUCUGCAGCUUCAUCUAACGUCGUUAUCGACCUUCCCGACGACGACGACGAGGAACCGCUGAGGCAGAGAAGGAACAAGAAAGCGUCUACUGGCAAGGCGACUCAGGACGUGCCCGCACCCGAGACAUUGGUCGUGGAGGGAGACAAUGUCACUUGGCCUACCGUAACCUUUGCGGUGCCGUUGACGAGUGCUCGUCCUUCAUCGUCGAGUGCUACUCAACCCUCGCUUUUCUCAACCUACCACAUCCCAGAAGACCAAGCUAGUGCUGCUAAAGAAGCAAUACGCCAAGCGGGGGUCAUGAUGGAGCAAGUGAAGGCAAUUCGAGAAGCCAGCCAGGCAGCCUAUGACGCCAGUUCAACUCUUCAGAGUAAUGUUCAGGUCAGUCGGUCACUGCCUGUUCUGUUAGGAUAUGAUAUCUGAAAAGUCUUCUUUCUGAAAUUCCUAGAGUUUGUCCUACACCCACUAGGUGUGUCGAUUGAAAUUCCGGGUUAGUGGGGGCAUGCUGAGUGCACCCACUGGGUGUAGUCCCCAAGGCUAUGGUGGACUGCUGGCAGUCGACCAUAGUCUUUAUGUCUUAAGUUUUUUCCUUACUCGACUAGGUCGAAUAGAUUCAUAGACCGGUGGGGGCACGCUGAGUGCACCCACUGGGUGUAGUCCCCGAGACUGUGGUCGACUGCUGGCAGUCGACUAUAGUCUGAAGAACACCUCUCGUUUUUUUUGUUGGUCGACUGGUCGACUCUAACUGAUGAAACUAGUGGGGGCACGCUGAGUGCACUCACUGGGUGUAGUCCCCGAGACUAUGGUCGAAUAUUUGUAUUCGGCCGUAGUCUUAGAAACGCUAUGAUUUUUCUUUAGUCACUCAGAAGUGAAUUGUCUUUGACAUCUGUCGAUUGGUUCUUCGUAGAAAUCCUGCGACCUUGCAGCUCGUUAUACUGAGUUGAAGAACAAACACAUCCAGCUCGAGCUUGAUUUGAAACUGACCCAAGAGAACCUAAUAAAGGCGAAGGAGGAAGCUAAAGGUAUGUUUGGUGAGGCCUUCGACGACUGCCUUUGCCUCUCGUUUGUUUCAGAGUCUGAUCUCACUGUAACUUUGCACACAAAGUGAGGGAUGCCCUGAAGAAGAAAGACCUUGACUUGGCUGAGAUGCAGAAAGCGGCUUUAGAGCAGACCAAGCUCGCAGAUGAGAAGCUGGCUUCAGUCACCAAGCUUGAAGAAGAAAACACCAAUCUGAAAGCUGCUCUUGAUGCUGCCAACAAGGAGGUCAGUCGACUAAAAAGUGACAAGAUUGCCCUGAAUGACAAGGCCAGUGAGUUGGUGGGAAAGAAGAAUGAUCUGGAGGCUUAUCUGGGUGGACUCGCCAAGAAGCUAUUCCUCAUGCUUGAAGGUAAUCUUUUGUAUCAAACAUACAUUUUAACUGUGAUCUCCGACUGUUGUCUUAACUCAGUGGUUGUGCUUGCAGAAUUUUGCCAGAACUUUGAAGAGGGGACUGGUCGACUAGAAAUAAACCUGGAUCCCAUCAACUCUCCCAUGAAAGAUGAAGUCACCAUGAAUGUGCUCCGGCUUGAAUCUCGUGUUGCUGCUGUCAUCGACUAUCUCGCAAGGCUGAAGGUCGCAACUUCUCGCAUCGACACAACACUCUGGCCAAGAGAGACGCUCCAGAACGACCUCGAGUCUCUGAUGACUCGACUGAACGAGGUCCCAAGUCGAGUGCAGGAGUGGAAGAAGUCUUCUGCCAGGUGUGGCGCGGAUGUUGCUCUGUCUCUGCUCCGCGUUCACUGCAAGGAUGCACGAGAGGACAAGCUGGCGGCCCUUAGGGUGGCUAACACCAAGAAGCAUGAUUUCCGAUCUUUCAUGGAGACCUUCAUCGCCGCUGCCACUCGGAUUGCAGAUGGAAUUGACCUUGAUGAGUUUGUUGCACCUUCCAGCCCUCCAUAGGAGGGGUAAAAAACUUCUGAGCUUGAUACUUUAAAUUUGCCUCGGUAUGCCGAGUGAGUUUUGUAACCGACAAACCUUAACAGGCUUAGCGCCUAAGCACUUUCGGUUCCGUUAUGUGUUAUCCGAACUUGGAUUCGACGUUGAAUAUGUUUGCAUUUGGUUUGAGGUGUCUUUUGCAGGCUAAAGCGAGGCGCUCAUUGCAAUCGACUUGUUCCCCGAUACACUUAGGCGAGCACUGGGCUGCAGCUAAGCCCCCGAGUGGGAGGUCUGCCCUCCACUCGGUAGGAUUUUCAAAAACUUAAGCGAGCACUGGGCUGCAGCUAAGCCCCCGAGUGGGAGGUUUGCUCUCCACUCGGUAGGAUUUUCAAAAACUUAGGCGAGCACUGGGCUGCAGCUAAUCCCCCGAGUGGGAGGUUUGCUCUCCACUCGGUAGGAUUUUCAAAAACUUAGGCGAGCACUGGGCUGCAGCUAAGCCCCCGAGUGGGAGGUUUGCUCUCCACUCGGUAGGAUUUUCAAAAACUUAGGCGAGCACUGGGCUGCAGCUAAGCCCCCGAGUGGGAGGUUUGCUCUCCACUCGGUAGGAUUUUCAAGGCGUACCUCUGGAGAAGGAGGUAGCAGUCAACCUGCACCUCGUCCUCCUUGCAGAGCGCACGUUGUAUUUGUGGCGUAGCUCGGAAGGAGAGGGUAGCACUCCACCUGCACCUCGUCCUCCUCGCAGAGCGCAUGUUGUAUUUGUACUUAGGCGAGCGCAACGCUGCAGCUAAGCCUCCGAAUGGAAGGCUGGCUUACCACUCGGUAGGAUUUUGUUUAACUUAGGUGAGUACUUGGACUGCAGCUAAGCCUCCGAGUGGAAGGCUGGCUUACCACUCGGUAGGAUUUUGUUUAACUUAAGCGAGUACUUGGACUGCAGCUAAGCCUCCGAGUGGAAGGCUGGCUUACCACUCGCUAGGAUUUUGCUUAACUUAGGCGAGUACUUGGACUGCAGCUAAGCCUCCGAGUGGAAGGCUGGCUUACCACUCGAUAGGAUUUUGUUUAACUUAGGCGAGUACUUGGACUGCAGCUAAGCCUCCGANNNNNNNNNNNNNNNNNNNNNNNNNNNNNNNNNNNNNNNNNNNNNNNNNNNNNNNNNNNNNNNNNNNNNNNNNNNNNNNNNNNNNNNNNNNNCUUACCACUCGGUAGGAUUUUGUUUAACUUAGGUGAGUACUUGGACUGCAGCUAAGCCUCCGAGUGGAAGGCUGGCUUACUACUCGGUAGGAUUUUGUUUAACUUAGGCGAGUACUUGGACUGCAGCUAAGCCUCCGAGUGGAAGGCUGGCUUACCACUCGGUAGGAUUUUGUUUAACUUAGGCGAGUACUUGGACUGCAGGUAAGCCUCCGAGUGGAAGGCUGGCUUACCACUCGGUAGGAUUUUUUUAAACUUAGGCGAGUACUUGGACUGCAGCUAAGCCUCCGAGUGGAAGGCUGGCUUACCACUCGGUAGGAUUUUGCUUAACUUAGGCGGGUACUUUGACUGCAGCUAAGCCUCCGAGUGGAAGGCUGGCUUACCACUCGGUAGGAUUUUGUCUAACUUAGGUGAAACGGAUUUCGCAGCUAAGCCUUCGAGUGGGAGGUUGGCUCACCACACGGUUAGGAUUUUUUUACAGACUUAGGCGAAUCAGAUUCGCAGCCAAGCCACCCACUGGGGGAUUGCUUUAUGUGGACAAAAGUAAUAACAAUUACUGGGAAAAUUAUAAAGCUCUUGUCUUUGAUAAAUAAACUACAGAAGUACUUUUAUUACAACUCAUCCGAGUGAAUACUUAAGUGUAAAAGGGGCGAAGAAGCUCUGCGUUCCAAGCUCGGGGCUCAUCGAUCUGAUGCUCGACAUUGUAAAGACGAUAUGCUCCAUUGUGGAGAACCUUGGUGACGAUGAAGGGACCUUCCCAAGAAGGAGCAAGCUUGUGUGGUUUCUGCUGAUCCACUCGGAGAACCAAAUCUCCUUCCUGGAAGGCUCGACUCUUCACGUGUUUGGCGUGGAAGCGACGCAAGUCUUGUUGAUAAAUGGUCGAUCGGAUCAGAGCCAUCUCCCUUUCUUCCUCUAAAAGGUCGACUGCGUCCUGCCGUGCUUGUUCUGCUUCAGCCUCGGUGUAGAGCUUGACCCGAGGAGCAUUGUGGAGAAGGUCACUCAGCAAGACUGCUUCAGCUCCGUAGACCAAGAAGAACGAAGUUCUUCCAGUCGACCAGUUGGGCGUGGUCCUUAACCCCCAAAGUACCGAGGGAAGUUCGUCGACCCAUGCACCAGCCGCAUGCUUGAGAUCACGCAUCAAACGGGGUUUCAACCCUUUGAGAAUCAGGACGUUGGCUCGUUCUGCCUGUCCAUUCGACUGCGGAUGGGCGACUGAAGCAUAGUCGACUCGUGUGCCUUGAGACGUGCAGAAAGCUCUGAAUUCUUCGGAAUCGAAGUUUGACCCGUUGUCAGUGAUGAUGAUGUGCGGGACUCCAUAUCUGAAUAUCAAUUCUCUGAUAAAGCUGACAGCAGUACCGGCAUUGAGGUUCUUGAUGGGUUUGGCCUCAAUCCACUAGGUGAACUUGUCGACUGCUACCAGCACAUGGGUGAAACCGUUUCUGCCUGUUCUCAAAGGGCCGAUCAUAUCCAACUGUAAGUGCAUCUAGUGCCCCUUAGUGAUUUUGGUGUAUUGAAGACUUAUAGGUUAAGGGACUAAUGCGUUUGUGAGUGUACACAGGUCUAUAAGUCUAUGAGGAGUUUGAUAUUUACAGAGAAAGUCGACCCCUAAAAAUGAAGUUCUUCAACUGAAGGCUUUGAUAUUCUGAAGACUUUGAAAGUGAAGAAAUUGGUGUGACCUUGAAGACUUGGUAUUCAUUUGUGGAACAUGAAGCGUGAAGACUUUUGUUUUCGUAGUUUCAUUUUCUCUUUCUUGAGUCAUAGGAAACACCGUACUGUUAAAGGGGGUCGAGGAAAUACUAAGGAAAAAUUUCCAUGUGAUGCUCAACUCAAAAUCCUACACCUACCAAUCCCUUCGAGUGAAGCCUUUGGAAAUCUCAUACAGUUCAGUCACUUUCUUCAGUGACAGAGACGAAGUUCUUCUGGUCGCUGAUGAAUUUGUUCUGACUGAGGAGUUAGGAAUUCGUCGGUGCGAAUUACCUACAUAGUGAGGAACAUGAUAGCCCUAAGGAAUUUGAUAGUCAAAUUUCCGACCGUUGCUAUGCUACGCGCCAGCUGUCCCAAAAUAUCUUAUCCACCUAACGGUCAUAUCAGACAAGGGCAUUUAUGUCUUAUCAUGUCGGGCUGCUCCCUAGGCUAUAAAUAGCCGCCCCCACAACCACUAGCUGGUUGGCUGCUCCGAGAGAACUUGACACUUGUCAUUUGAGAGCAACCCAUCCUCCGAGGACUUUGAGCGAAAAUCAUCGAGUGAGGAAAACCCAAAACCAAACCCCUACAAACCCAAAGUGAUUGAGCAUCACUGAAGAAAUUGAUCCUGCGUGGAUCCAACGCUUGUUACCUUUGAAGAAUGUGCUUCUUCCAGACGGUUAGGCAUCAAGGUCUAGAGCAUCCAAGAAGAAUUGUGGAUCGCCGAGUGACCAAGUCUGUGAAGGUUUGGAAGUCGCCUGAAGACUUACCACGAGUGAUUGGACGAGGUCUAUGUGACCUUAGUUCAAGGAGAAUACGGUGAGGACUGGGUGUCCUAAGCUACGUGCUCAGCGACUGGGUGUCCGGGACUGUGUGUCCUCGAGUUUAAAUACUCAGCCGCUCCAACCAGACGUACAACUGAGACAGCAGUUGGAACUGGUCUACCAAAUCAUUGUCUUCACCAACCUAACUGGUUCUAUUUCCUCAACCCUUUCAUUUCCUCAUUACUGUGUUGAAUGUUUGUUCAUAUCUGUGUUUGAAGACUUUGACUGAAGACUUUCUCAAUUUCCUCAGUUCAAUUUCUUCAGUCUGUUUGUCUUCAUCUUGUGUUAUCUGUGAUUACGCUUUCUGUACUCUGUGCUAGUCUUCAUUUCAUCAUGAUGACCAUGCUUGUAUUCUGUUAUGCUUACUUCUGAGUACUUAUUCCACUGCUAAUAGUUCUUCGCUAAGGAAUUUCCUCACCGGAAAAUUCCUCAGUGAAGAAUUCAUAAAAAUCGCCUAUUCACCCCCCUCUAGUCGACAUAACGCACUUUCAAUUGGUAUCAGAGCAAGGUACUCCCUUGUUCUGUGUGAUUUUGGUUUAACCGCCUGGAGUUUUAGUUAUGUCGACCGCAGGUAUGAUCAAGGUCUCGGCUGGGUGUCCUACCUUUGAUGGGACGGACUACCCCUACUGGAAAAACAAGAUGCGAAUGCAUCUCGAGGCAAUUGACAACGAUCUCUGGUAUGUUGUGGAAAUGGUGUUCCCUCUGUCUCACCCUCACUGAACGCUACCGAUGUGAAGAGAUUCAAGCAACUCGAUUCUCAAGCGAAGAAUAUCAUAUGUGGCCAUCUGAGUAAAGGACAAUAUGGAAGAGUGAAUGCUUUGGAAACUGCUAAGCUUAUCUGGGAUAGGCUGUCCAAAGUGAAUGAAGGAGUCUCAACUCAGCGUGACUCUCGAGUUGAUGUUCUUCGGAAUCUCUUCAACCGCUUCAAAAGACUCGACAAUGAAAAUGUCCAACAAACCUUUGAUCGCCUCACUGACAUCUCAAAUGAGCUUCAAGCCCUCGGUGCCACUGACAUCACUGACCAUGAGGUGGUGAAGAAACUGUUGAGAUCACUUGAUUCCUCAUUUGAUACUCUGGGUCUGAUGAUACAAGAAUGGGCUGACUACAAGUCUCUUGAUCCUGCCGAUAUCCUCGAAAGGCUAAAUACUCACGAGUUCCAGCUUGCUGAAAAGAGAGAUCUCUAUGGUUCGAGCUAUGGCAAACCACGUGCCCUGAAGGCCAAGGUUGUGUCUGAGUCUGAAUGUGAGGAUUCUGGUAGUAGCCUUGGUGAUCCUGAAGAAUUGAGCCAGGAGCUAGCACUGCUCGUGAAGAAAUUCCAGAAGUUCUCAAGACGUGGUCGCUUUGGAAAAUCCUCAAGAAGUAGUGAUUCCUCAUCAAGUGACUAUAAGAGAAGGCUGUGCCACAAAUGCAAGAAACCUGGUCAUUAUAUUCAAGAUUGUCCUCAGUGGGAAAAGGAAUUGAAGAAGAAUAAAUACAAGGAUUAUAGUUCUGAUGAUGCGAAGAAGAAGAAGAAAUCAUCAAAAUCUUCGUCAUCAAAAUCCUUGAAGUCUUCAUCUCACAAGAAGAGCAGCUCCAAGAAGGCUCGGGCAUUCAUUGGCAAGGAAAUGGACUCUGAAGUUGAAUCUGAGGAACAUGAGGAAGAGGAGGCGUCUAAAGAAUCCGAAUCUGGUGUGGCGAGUCUGGCCUUCGCUACUGCUUUCGUUAGCAAGUCCAUCUUCAACACUGAAGAAACUGACCCCACCGACAAGCCUGAUGAAGAUAAUGAUGACUACGCUCCCACCUAUUGCUUCAUGGCAAAAGGUGCAAAGGUACUCAAAUACACCUCCUUUGAAUCUAGUGAAAAUGAAUCUGAUGAGGAUCUCAAGCCCAGCUACUCUAAACUUGCUAAGAUUGCUGUAAAACAACAAAGGGCUUUUGAAAAGGUUCAAAACAUGCUAGACAAAAGUGAUGAUAUGUUGGGUGAAGAAAUGGAUCGCACUAAAGCCCUGACUGAAAAUUUUCAGAGACUUCAGUCUAGGUUUGAUAACCUUCAAGGUCAUCAUAACACUCUCUUGUCGGAUCAUGAGAAACUUUCUUAUGAAUUUCUUCAAAGAAAGCAAGAUCUUGAGAAGCUAAGAGUGAGUUAUGAAGAUCUUCAGAAGGAGCGCGAUUCAUUACUAGCUCAACAAAUCAGCGCUUCUCAGGAAGAAUUUGUUCCUCCAUGCUUAAAGUGCAUUGAACGUGAAUCUGCUAAUUCUUCACCUGAAUGUUCAAAUGCUUCAACUGUUACAAAUUCUUCACCUGCCUCUGCUAUCACUAAUUCCUCAUCUGAAGACAUUGCUAGUAUCACUGACGAUGCAGGGCUGAAGGAAUUGUACAUGACAGGCAUGUACAAAAGCCUCAAAGGGCAUCAGACUCUUUGUGAUGUGCUUAAAAAGCAGAUCCUCAACAGAAACCCUAGGAAAGAGGGUAUCGCCUUUGAGAGGAAACUUAAUGCUGAUGGAACAUAUUGGAAGCCUGAGCAGUACCCCAAAACCUCAUGGGUUGCUGCAAAUGGACCUCCAGUUGAUCCAUCUAACUUAUCUGGCUUUACAUGUGAAUCUCCUCAUCCUUCUGAUGAGUCAUUUGACUCCAACUAUAAACUGUUCAAAAAUCAGAAUGGUGAAGUAUUUGCUAGAUAUGUUGGCACUAACUGCAGGAACGGUUCUCCUAUGAAGAAAAUCUGGGUUCCAAGAAGUGCCUUGAAAGUCUUCAGGUGAAUGUCCUCAUGACACCACUAGUGAAGAACAGGAACCCCAGAUCAAAUUCUUCAUAUGGAUCAAAUUCCUCAAAUGGAUCAAAGUCCUCAUAUGAUUAUCAUCGUGCUAACAACUCUAUUUCGCAGGGUAGAGCUAAGGGCUAUGAAUAUGUGCAUUAUUCUUCAAACCAUUAUGUUCAUAAGUCCUCGAAGAAUUUCUCUGCUUAUUCAUAUGCUUACCCUAACCCCUCUUAUGUGAAACGAAAUGGUUUGGCUUCUAUGCCACCAUUCUCGUAUGGUGCUCGCAGAGUGAUGAACUCUUUGCCACCCCUUCAGAUGUGGGUGGUGAAGAAAAAGAACUAAUCUCUUCUGCAGGGUCAGGUCUCCAGACAUGCCUUAACGUCUAAAGAAUUUGCUGGGGACCUGACAAAAUUGCCUGAAAGGACGCAGGCGAAUCAUGAUGAAAUAAACUUUCACAGGUCCUCCUACUGCUAUAUCUGUUUACUGCUUGAUGAAAUUCAUCUAAUGAACUUGAUAUCAGAUUCUUCUUUGAUGAAGCAUAUGAGAUUGUAAGUUACACUAAUUCAUCUGCAGGAUGAUCAACCCAAAGCCACUGAAUGGGUCCUCGAUAGUGGAUGUACAAAUCACAUGACUGGUGACAAGAAUCUUUUGAUGGAUGCUCCCUUAUCACCGUCACAUCUGAAGCACAUCAUCUUUGCUGACAAAGGCAAAAGUCAGGUAUUGGGUCUUGGUAAGGUUGCGAUCUCUAAGGAUAAACACAUGGACAAAGUCAUGCUUGUUGAGUUCUUAGGAUACAACCUCAUGUCAGUCUCAAUGCUUUGUGAUCUUGAUAUGGUUGUUGUCUUUGGCAAGUAUCGAUGUGUUGUGAUUAUGGAAGCUGACAAUUCCAAAGUCUUCGAAGGCUUUAGGAGAUGAGAUUUGUAUAUUGUUGAUUUCUCUACAGGACCACAACUAGCUGUGUGUCUACUUGCAAAAGCUUCAGAAGGCUGGCUAUGGCAUCGACGACUUGGUCACACAGGCAUGAGGAAUUUGCACACGCUUGCAAAGAAGAAGCAUGUCAUUGGCAUUGAGAAUGUCAAAUUCCUCAAGGAUCACUUAUGCGGAGCCUGUGAAGCUAGAAAAAUGACCAAGGCCAAGCAUCCAGCGAAGACUAUCAUGACCACUACUCGUCCAUUCGAAUUGCUUCACAUGGACCUCUUCGGACCUAAUCAUUACUCAGCAGUCACUAAUGAUGCAUCUCUAUAUGGUUUUGUCAUUGUUGAUGAUUACUCUCGAUAUACAUGGGUACACAUUGUUACUUACAAACAUGAAGUGCAGGAAGUCUUCAAAUGUUUUUCCUCGAGGGCUUCAACCAACUUUGGUGUGAAGAUCAAGCACAUCAGAAGUGACAAUGGAACUGAGUUCAAGAAUUCCGGUCUUGAUGACUAUCUUGAUGAACUUGGUAUUACUCAUGAGUUAUCUGCUCCCUAUACUCCUCAGCAAAAUGGCGUCGUGGAGCGCAAGAACAAAACUCUUGUUGAGAUGGCUCGCACUAUGCUUGAUGAAUACAAAACGCCUCAUCAUUUUUGGAUUGAUGCAAUUGAUACUGCAUGCCACAUCAUCAACAGAGUAUAUCUUCACAAAUUCUUCAAGAAGACGGCCUAUGAACUCCUCACUGACAAGAAACCCAAUGUGAGUUAUUUAAAAGUCUUCGGUGCUAAAUGUUGGAUUAGAGAUCCUCACCACAAUUCUAAAUUUGCACCGAAAGCACAUGAAGGUUUUAUGCUUGGUUACGGAAAGGACUCGCACACCUAUAGAGUCUUCAACAUUGUUCUUCACAAGAUUGUUGACACUGUAGAUGUGCGGUUCGAUGAAACUAAUGGCUCGCAAAGAGAGCACCUACCUUCUGUGUUAGAUGAACUAGCACCUGAGGAUUCUAUCAAGUUCAAGGCAACUGAGGAUGUCAUUCCUACUGAAGAAUUUGCUGAAGAAUUCAUUCCAGUUCAUGAAGAACAUCGAGCUGAUACACCUGAAGAAAAUGCUGAGGAAAAUGGUGAUGAAGAAAAUGCUGACCAAACUCCUCAGCGACAACCAGCUCAUCCUCGCGUUGCAAAAGAAGUGCAAGUGGAGAAGAUCAUCGAUGACAUUAGAGCACCAGGUCCUCUCACACGCUCAAAAGCUUCACGUUUAUAUAACUUUUGUGGGCACUAUGCUUUUGUCUCUAUCACAGAGCCCACUAAGGUAGAUGAAGCAUUUUUGGAGCCGGAGUGGAUUCAGGCUAUGCAAGAAGAAUUACAUCAGUUCGAGCUCAACAAUGUCUGGGAACUGGUCAAACGUCCAGAUCCUUGCAAGCAUAAUAUCAUUGGCACAAAGUGGAUCUACCACAACAAGCAAGAUGAAAAUGGCCUUGUGGUGAGGAAUAAGGCACGACUGGUAGCUCAAGGCUACACAUAGGUUGAAGGAAUUGAUUUCGAUGAAACUUUUGCACCUGUUGCUAGACUUGAGGCUAUUCGCAUAUUACUUGCUUAUGCUAACCAUCAUGAAAUCAUCUUAUAUCAAAUGGAUGUGAAAAGUGCAUUCCUCAAUGGUAAGCUUGAGGAAGAAGUAUAUGUUGCCCAACCCCCAGGUUUUGAAGAUCCAAAGAAUCCUGACAAAGUCUUCAGACUUAAUAAGGCCCUCUAUGGCCUCAAGCAAGCCCCUCGGGCGUGGUAUGAUACAUUGAAGGAAUUCUUCGUGAAGAAUGGCUUCACACCCGGUUCACUCGACCCUACUCUCUUUACUAAAUCUUAUGAUGGUGAAUUGUUUGUGUGCCAAAUAUAUGUUGAUGAUAUUAUCUUUGGCUGUACUGACCAACGUUAUAGUGAUGAAUUUGCCUAUAUGAUGAGUGAAGAAUAUCAAAUGUCUAUGAUGGGAGAGUUGAAAUUCUUCUUAGGUCUUCAAAUUCGUCAAUAGCGCAAUGGCAUAUUCAUAUCUCAGGAGAAAUACCUCAAAGAUGUACUGAGGAAAUUCGGCAUGCAAGAUUGCAAAGGCGUUAAAAUUCCUAUGCCCACAAAUGGCCAUCUAUGCACUGAUGAAAAUGGUAUUGACUUUGAUCACAAGGUAUACCGCUCCAUGAUUGGUUCUUUAUUGUACUUAUGUGCAUCUAGGCCAGAUAUAAUGCUUAGUGUUUGCAUGUGUGCCCGAUUUCAAGCUGCACCGAAGGAAUCACACCAUAAGGCUGUGAAGCAUAUUCUUCGAUAUCUAGCUCACACACCAACACUAGGAUUAUGGUACCCCAAGGGCUCUGCUUUUGAUCUCAUUGGAUAUUCUGACUCUGACUAUGCUGGUGAUCGUGUGGACCGCAAGUCAACUUUUGGCACUUGUCAUUUCCUCGGACGAUCUUUGGUCUGUUGGUCCUCGAAGAAACAGAACUGCGUAUCAUUGUCCACUACGGAAGCUGAAUACAUUGCUGCUGGCUCUUGCUGUGCUCAACUGCUUUGGAUGAAGCAAACACUCAAGGACUAUGGCGUCAACGUGAAGAAUGUGCCUCUCCUCUGCGACAAUGAGAGUGCCAUCAAGAUUGCUCACAACCCAGUUCAGCACUCGAAGACAAAGCACAUUCAAAUUCGUCAUCAUUUUCUUCGUGAUCAUGUGUUGAAGGGCGACAUCUCCAUCGAGGACGUGAAGACUGAAGAACAGCUAGCUGAUAUCUUCACUAAGCCCUUGGAUGAGAAGAGAUUUAGCAAGUUGCGGUGUGAGCUAAAUAUCUUAGAAUCUUCGAAUGUUCUUUGAAAAGGACACACAUCCUAACACUUAUGCAAAAUUGAUGACUUAGAUGUGCAACACAUGAAGAAACGUUUUUCUUCAAUCAAUGAAGAAUAACACUCUAAGUGUGAAGAAAUUAAUGAAGAAUUUGAUUCUCAGAACCCUACGACAAUUGUACGCGGUGUCUGAAAUCAUCAUUCUUAUACGGUGGGUCACGCCACCACAAAAAGUUGAAAAUCUUCAAUUUGAGUUUUUUCCUCAGUUUUGAAAUUCUCCAGUUUUUCAAAUUCUUCAACUUUUCAAAAUCUUCACUGUUUCCUUUGUUUUUCUUCAUUGGCUAUAUAUAUAUGCGUUUAUGUCCUCUGCAGCAUUCACUUAUAGCUAUUUCUUCAAGUUGCUUUUCUGCUAAGUGAAUGUGAUCGGACCCUUCCCCCUCUAUGCUAUACUCAACCCAAUCUAUUCACAAAUUCUUCAUAUGCGUUCUAUUUGAAACUCGUUCAAAAUCUUCACUAUGUCCUUGUCAGCUGAAGAAAUUGCGAACGAAACUUUAAAACAAAUCUUAUCCAAAUUUUCGGUUUUGCCGCUCAAACCGUUCCGCAUCCCACAAUGCAUUAUUCUAUUCGCCCACGAUCGUACACGAUCUCAACUACACAGUACGUGGGUGACACAUGUCGCGUGAAGGAGAAAGGGCAGGGGCACGUUCAUCCCAAAUCUUCGGGCGAACUGUUUUUCACCGUGUCUAUAAAUACCCCUCUCCCCUUCCUCACUUCAUUUACUCCGCUCGAUCGCUACUCUCUCACUCGAGCUCCUCAAACCCUAGCGCCGCCGCUACUCCAUCGUCGUCGGUGAGGAAGAGCUUCGCUGCCUCGACCUCGUCGCCAUCGUACUCACGCCGACCGGGGAAAUCUUCACUCCGCCGCCGCCGUAGCUGUCUUCCUCUGCCAAGUUAGGGCGUGGGAGAUCUAACCUGACGAGCUUCACAUCUGUUCUUCUCAGUUCGUCGUGUUCUUCACUUCGGGUAAUUAAAAGUUACUUUUAUUACUCACGUUGAUUCUCAAACUUUCCUGAAAAUCUUCAAAGGUGUUUAUUCUUCAAAUCUUCACACAUAUGAACACCUCACACAUCAUAUGAUCUUGAACUGUUUCUCUAAGCAAUCAUUUUCUUCAAGAUUCCCUAAUUGUGUGGAUCUUCGAUCUGUACAACUCUGGAACCUAAGACAAGAACGCUUAGUGAAAUUCCUCAAGGUUCAUCUGGUCAAAUUCCUCAAAACUUGUUCUUUUCGAAAAACCUCCUCAGAACGCAUAUGACCUCUCCGAAUUCCUCGCACCUGUACUCUGUUCACAGGUACUCAUGUCUGCUGCUGAAUCACUAGGUUCUCAUCAACUUAACUCAUUUGCAGCGUUCCUCGAAGAAAAACUGCAUACUUCUUCAGAGAACUCGAUUGUUCAAAUUCCUCAACUGAAGAACAUGGCAGAUGGUAAGAAGCCACAGAAAGGAGGAAGGAAACCUGAGGUUAUGACUGCGUUUGAAAUCCCUGAGGAAAUUUAUGCUGACUAUUGCACACCUGAUGAAGCAAAAUUUGGCAAAGAAAACAAAAAUCAGUGCAAGGUGCGCAUUUAGAGGAUUGAACGGAGAUGGGCAAGGGAAUGGAGGGAAUACAGAUAUGUGACUCCAAAGUACAUGAGGAAAUUCGCCCUCAAUCCUCCAUGCCCAAGAGCUCCAUUGGCACCUGGCCAAGUAGCUGACCCCACAAGCAUCAAACGUGGUGAGGACUUUCCUGAAGAAUGGGCUAAGCGCCAAGCUAAAUUGGCAAGACAAGCUAAGGAGGCAGUGAAGAAAUUCAAUGAGGAUUCUGCCACUGCUACUGCUACUGAGGCCUCGGUCAAACCGAGGAAAUCCAUGCCAAAGAAGCCUGCUCGUAAGCCAAGUGCUUCACCAACAGUGCCCUCACGGCAAAUUCCUCACACUGCUACAGCUCCACCAAAAUCCUCAACAACUCCUUCAAAGUCCUCAGCUCUUGUGCAUCUGGCUACAUGUCAAAGGACUGCUGGUUUCUCGAUUGCCUCUGGUGUUUCAGCAAGUUCCUCAGCUGCAUCAAUUUCCUCAUCAGGCCCCACACUGUUGAAGACCAAAGCAACAGCUGGACGAGGUCCUCGGCCAAGUCCAAAGAAGAAAUAGGUUGCAUUCCAUGUGCCUUCUGAUGAUGAUGCUUCUGAUGAUGAACUUGCAGAAAUCAUCAGAGACAGACAGGUGAAGGCCGCUAGAGCCAAAGGCACAUCUGUGCCACUGCUUUUGGAUCCGAGAAAAAUCCUCGAUUACAUUGAUCUCUGGCACAAGGAUCCUAACACCCCUAUGCCUGAUUUUCAUCUGACCCCUGGUCAAAGUCAUAUGCUGACCCAUUUCAUCACUGAAGAGAAAUGGAAGUUUGAAAAGGCAAGAGGGAUCAGGAAAGCUCAAUACAGAAAGGAGAAGCUCCUGAAGAAAAACGUUGUCAGAAUGACACCUGAGGAACUUCUCCAGGCUCAGUCUGAAAUUCAAGCCCUCAGCAAAGACUUUGAUGCCUACUAUGCUGAUUGGCAAGGAGCUAAAGUAAGAUUCGUCAAUCUGAUGAAGAAAUUCACAAAUGUUGCAGCCCCAUCGCAACAAGAAAAUUUUUAGGCUGCAGACUCUGCUCAGCCUGCUGAAGAACAUGCCAGCACCGCUGAUGACUUUCAACCUGCUAAAGAACAUGCUCGUUCCAGGGCUGGUGAAGAAAUUCCAGCCGCUGAAGAAAUUGCCAGGGCAUCCACUAGUGGUGCGCCUGAAGAAACUGAAAAGAUCGGAGCAACUGCAUCAGUUGCGCCUGAAGAAAAUGAACCAGAUUCCUCAGCUCCUCACAUGCCCACACCAACUCCAGUUCUUCCAUCUGCUUCUGAUGUGAAGAAGACCAAGGCUGCAGAGCGAGCUGCAGUGAAGAAAAGGAAGGCAUCAGCUGCGUCAAACUCUUCGGCUGCGAAGAAAAUGAAGCCAAUGACCAGCUCACUCGAAAAUCCAAUUGAUGCUGUUCCGAUUUCCUCCAUGCCAUCAAAGGAUCUUGUUCCUUUUGGAGAAUACUAUGAGAUCCCAAGCGGAUCUGAUGAAGAAAAUCAUUCUGCUGCUUCGUCAGAGCAGAUUGAUGAAGAAAUUGAAGUGGAAGCAAUCCCUUCAACCCCAAUCAUUUCCUCGCCUAUGCCUCAGUUCACAGCUGAAGAGGCUGGUGUUGAGGAACUUGAAGAAGAUGUGGAUAUUGGAAGCACAACGCCAGUGAUGAACAAUGACUUUUGGGAAAGUCAACAUCCAAAUUCUCCACUCUUCACCCCAAUCCAACAGAUACCUCAGUCCCCUGCUCCAACUGUUCAAAUGGGAUCUCAAGAAACUCAUCCCACUUCAUCUGUCCAUGAAGAAAUUCCAGCCACUAGUGCUGAUGAACCUGUUGCUGCUGAUCCUCAGACUGCACCUGUCGAGGAACAAGAAAUUCCUCAGCCUGAAGAACCUGAGCUCGCGAUUCCUGAGGUGGUGAUGCAACUCACUGACACCCCUUUGCCAAAGCCAAAGAAUCCGUUCUCAAGCAAACAGAAGUUCAAGGCUGAAGAUUUCUUUGCCGAGCACGUAUUCUUCACUGAUUAUAAUCCAUAUGAUUCUGCUCGCAUAAGGAAGAGGCGUUUCUGGACUGCCAGCCAAGCCAAUUUCUAUUCCUCAGUGCUCUUCAACAAAGACAAAGUCUUCGAUCAUGCACAUAUUCCUCAUGUGGACAUGGAGUCUCUGCCCGGCUUUGAGCCAGUCCUCAGUGUUCUUCACGACGCAGGACUUUUGAAUUUCUGCAUUGAUAUCUGUGACUGGAAUGAAGAACUCAUUCUUCAACUCUAUGCAACUCUGCACAUCACCGGAGACGCUGAAGACGUGAACUCAUGUGUAUUAGACUGGAUGUCUGAAAAUACUCACUACAAGGCACCAGCAACUGAAUUGCUUCAUGCUCUACCACUCAGUCCUCCACUUGAUGGUGCUCGUUGUAUCUACAACGAACCAGAACUUUCAAAUCACUAUAUGCAAGUGUUGAUGAAGCCUUUGAAGCCAAGGCAGGCCCCAUGAACCAAAUUCCUCGUCAAGGAAUUACUCUAUGUGCCUCGGACUGUCUAUCGAAUUCUGACGAAGACAAUGAGUCUCAUCAAAGGCCACGACUCAAAUGAUGAAGAAGUCGUUGGCAUCAUGAAGAAUAUGCUUUUCAACAUCAUUCAUGGCGUUCCCGUCAACUUCCAUGAUUUCUUCAUGAGGACUCUGGCCAAUAUUGCUAUGUCACCAUUCGAGCUGAAGCCCUAUGCUCCUUGGAUUAUGAGAUUCAUCAGGGCAAGAUCUUCACUGAAUUACAAAGCUGACACUCUGAACCAUGGUAGCUACUUGCCUCCCAUUGAAGUCCUCAAACGGACAGUUUCAUCAGCUGAUGAUAAAGGCAAGGCCGCUGCUGUGAUCGAUGAAGGCAUUCGUCCAUUGGAUGGUCAAUUUCGCAAGGCUGCAUCUUACUCUACCAAUGACGAUUCUGCCACACAUGACUCUGCCGCAAAUACCUCAGCCAAGCAAAAUCCUCAAGCCACAGCACCCAGGGUGAUGACUGACCGUGAGUUACUCCUCAGUCUUCAUCAGAAGGUUGAUCGCAAUCACAAAUGGGUAAAGCGUCAGUUUGGUGCUCUUCUUCACAAUAUGACCUCAACACACAAUGCAGUGAAGAAGAACCAAUACUACCUUCAUGAAACCUUCAACCGCACCUGGGCUGUCCUCACUCAUGUCGAUAGCGCUGAAGAACUGAAGAUUAUGGGUCUCAAGGAAGAAUUUGACUGGUCUGCACCUCCUCCGAAGAAAUUCAAGAGCGUCAAAAUUCCUCCACUGGUGGCCAGCUCUUAUUCUUCAUCGCGUGACACUGAUGAGUAUGAAGAUUUGGACGACACUGCGGCAGGCCCUGCUACAACAAACAACCCUGACAACGCUGGCGCCCCUCCAUUGACUUGAAAUUCUUCAAGGGCGUUAGUCCUCAGUUUCAAUCCUUUUGGUCAUUUGAUGACAAAGGGGGAGAAAUCUGAGUUAGUCUUCAAGCGGGUCUAUAUUAAGGGCAUUUUUUUAAGUUACAACUCUCGUUCUUCUGAAACUUUUAUUUGGAUCGAGUUGUAAUCUUAAACCCGAUGGUGCGCUGAUACUUUUGUUGCAUUAUGCUUUGCAUGCUUAUUCCUCGUUAAUGACAUUGCACGCAUGCUGAAUCUCAUCAGGCACCAUAUUUCAUCAUGCAUUUCAAAUUCUUCAUAUUAUAUAUCAAAUGCGUGUAUGAAUUACAAGAUAUAGGGGGAGAUCUCCAUGAUUCAACUCUUCAAAUGUGCAUUGCCUCAAAAGAAAAUUCCUCACUAUGCACAUCUUCAGGGGGAGUUCUUCUAUAUCUUGUAAUCAAAUUCCUCAAUAUCAGUGUAUACACUUCAUAUGUUUAUCCCCGUUGAAAACUUAACCUAUGUUGUCAUCAAUCACCAAAAAGGGGGAGAUUGUAAGUGCAUCUAGUGCCCCUUAGUGAUUUUGGUGUAUUGAAGACUUAUAGGUUAAGGGACUAAUGCGUGUGUGAGUGUACACAGGUCUAUAAGUCUAUGAGGAGUUUGAUAUUUAAGAGAAAGUCGACCCCUAAAAAUGAAGUUCUUCAACUGAAGGCUUUGAUAUUCUGAAGACUUUGAAAGUGAAGAAAUUGGUGUGACCUUGAAGACUUGGUAUUCAUUUGUGGAACAUGAAGCGUGAAGACUUUUGUUUUUGUAGUUUCAUUUUCUCUUUCUUGAGUCAUAGGAAACACCGUACUAUUAAAGGGGUCGAGGAAAUACUAAGGAAAAAUUUCCAUGUGAUGCUCAACUCAAAAUCCUACACCUACCAAUCCCUUCGAGUGAAGCCUUUGGAAAUAUCAUACAGUUCAGUCACUUUCUUCAGUGACAGAGACGAAGUUCUUCUGGUCGCUGAUGAAUUUGUUCUGACUGAGGAGUUAGGAAUUCGUCAGUGCGAAUUACCUACACAGUGAGGAACAUGAUAGCCCUGAGGAAUUUGAUAGUCAAAUUUCCGACCGUUGCUGUGCUACGCGCCAGCUGUCCCAAAAUAUCUUAUCCACCUAACGGUCAUAUCAGACAAGGGCAUUUAUGUCUUAUCAUGCCGGGCUGCUCCCUAGGCUAUAAAUAGCCGCCCCCCACAACCACUAGCUGGUUGGCUGCUCCGAGAGAACUUGACACUUGUCAUUUGAGAGCAACCCAUCCUCCGAGGACUUUGAGCGAAAAUCAUCGAGUGAGGAAAACCCAAAACCAAACCCCUACAAACCCAAAGUGAUUGAGCAUCACUGAAGAAAUUGAUCCUGCGUGGAUCUGACGCUUGUUACCUUUGAAGAUUGUGCUUCUUCCAGACGGUUAGGCGUCAAGGUCUAGAGCAUCCAAGAAGAAUUGUGGAUCGCCGAGUGACCAAGUCUAUGAAGGUUUGGAAGUCGCCUGAAGACUUACCACGAGUGAUUGGACGAGGUCUGUGUGACCUUAGUUCAAGGAGAAUAUGGUGAGGACUGGGUGUCCUGAGCUGCGUGCUCAGCGACUGGGUGUCCGGGACUGUAUGUCCUCGAGUUUAAAUACUCAGCCGCUCCAACCAGACGUACAACUGAGACAGCAGUUGGAACUGGUCUACCAAAUCAUUGUCUUCACCAACCUAACUGGUUCUAUUUCCUCAACCCUUUCAUUUCCUCAUUACUGUGUUGAAUGUUUGUUCAUAUCUGUGUUUGAAGACUUUGACUGAAGAUUUUCUCAAUUUCCUCAGUUCAAUUUCUUCAAUCUGUUUGUCUUCAUCUUGUGUUAUCCUGUGAUUACGCUUUCUGUGCUCUGUGCUAGUCUUCAUUUCAUCAUGAUGACCAUGCUUGUAUUCUGUUAUGCUUACUUCUGAGUACUUAUUCCGCUGCUAAUAGUUCUUCGCUAAGGAAUUUCCUCACCGGCAGAUUCCUCAGUGAAGAAUUCAUAAAAAUCGCCUAUUCACCCCCCCCCUCUAGUCGACAUAAUGCACUUUCACCAACUCCCAUACUGCAAAGGGCCAAACGAGUGGUAUGGUCUUUAAAGCUGAGGCGGGCUUGUGUGACAUAUUGGAGUAAAAUUGACAUCCCUCACACUUGUCGACUAUCUCCUUUGCCAUUUCAUUCGCUCUUGGCCAAUAAAAUCCGGCUCGGUAUGCUUUGGCCACAAUGGUCCGGGAAGACGCAUGAUGGCCACAGGUCCCCGAGUGGAUGUCAUCAAGGAUUAUUCGACCUUCCACCGGCGUUAUGCAUUUCUGACCAACUCCAGUCGCGCUUUCUCUGUACAGCUGCCCCCUUAUCACAGUAAAGGCUUUAGAUCGGCGGACAAUCUGUCGAGCCUCUUCUUCGUCCUCUGGGAGCUCUUUCCUCAAGAUAUACGCGAUAUACGGUACUGUCCAAUCGGGAGUGAUCACCAAAGCUUCCAUGAUCAGGUCGACCACUGCUGGAACUUCAACCUCAGUCGGAUCCAUAACACUCUUAGGUUGCGGGGCUUCGUCGGUAAAAGGAUCUUCUAUGACUGAUGGAGUAUGGAUAUGCUCCAAGAACACAUCACUGGGGAUGGCUUCUCUCUUGGAUCCUAUCUUCGCCAAAUCAUCAGCCGCUUGAUUUUUCAGUCGGGGUAUAUGGUGGAGCUCUAACCCUUCGAAUUUCUUUUCGAGCUUCCUCACUGCAUUGCAGUAUCCAGUCAUGGCUGGGCUUCUAACGUCCCACUCCUUCAUCACUUGAUUGACCACCAAAUCUGAGUCGCCAUAAACCAUAAGGCGACGGACGCCGAGUGAAAUGGCCAUGCACAACCCAUACAAAAGUGCUUCAUAUUCUGCUUCAUUGUUGGAGGAAUCAAAGUGGAUCUGGAGCACAUAUCUGAGCUUAUCUCCUCGGGGAGAAACCAAAACUACCCCAGCACCAGAACCAUUUAACAUCUUAGAGCCAUCAAAGAACAUGGUCCAAUGCUCCGAGUGAACUUGAGUCGGCUGCUGUUGUUCAAUCCACUUGGCAAGGAAAUCUGCUAUAGCCUGGGACUUAAUGGCUUUCUUUGCCUCAAAUUUGAUAUCAAGGGGAAGGAGUUCAAUCGCCCAUUUAGCCACUCGACCAGUUGCGUCUCUGUUGUGCAGAAUCUCUGACAAUGGUGCGUCGCUGACGAUUGUAAUGUCAUGGUCAGAGAAAUAAUGAGCAACCUUCUUCAUGGUCAUGUAGAUCCCAUAUACGAGCUUCUGAUAAUGAGGAUAUCUUUGCUUCGAUGGAGUCAAAACUUCAGAGAGAUAAUACACUGGGCGCUGAACUUUGAAGGUUUUACCUUCCUCUUCCCGCUCGACCGUAAGUACUGUACUGACGACCUGUCCUGUGGCUGCAAUGUAAAGCAACAGAGGCUCUUUGCUGAUUGUAGCAGCAAGCACCGGCUGGGUGGAGAGCAGAGCUUUUAGCUCGGCAAACGCUGCAUCAGCUUCUGGAGUCCACUCGAACUUGUCUGCCUUCUUCAUCAGUCGGUAAAGAGGCAACACCUUUUCACCGAGGCGAGAGAUGAAUCGACUUAACGCGGCCAAGCAUCCAGUAAGUUUCUGGAUGUCGUGCACACGCACAGGGCGUUUCAUUCGGAGUAUGGUGCCAACUUUUUCUGGGUUAGCAUCGAUUCCUCGUUCUGAAACGAGAAAACCGAGUAACUUUCCGCCAGGUACUCCGAAUGUGCACUUUGAUGGAUUGAGCUUGAUAUCAUACCUCCUGAGAUUGGCAAAUGUUUCAGCUAGGUCAGUCAACAGGUCAGAACCCUUUCGUGACUUGACCAUGAUAUCAUCCAUGUACGCUUCCAUAUUCCACUGAUUUGAGUGAGUAAACACUUUUGAAUCAUUCUCAUGAACGUGGCUCCGGCAUUCUUGAGACCAAAUGGCAUGGUGAUAUAGCAGAAGCACCCGAAUGGAGUGAUGAAAGCUGUUUUGAUUUCGUCAGGUCCAUACAGACGGAUCUGAUGAUACCCGGAAUAAGCGUCUAAAAAAGACAAUCUCUUGCAUCCCGCAGUUGAGUCGACAAUUUGGUCGAUGCGAGGGAGAGGAAAAUGAUCUUUUGGGCAGGCCCGAUUGAUAUGUUUGAAACCAAUGCACAUGCGAAGUGAGUUGUCCUUCUUGGGAACCAUGACGACAUUGGCGAGCCACUCGGAGUGGUAUAUCUCUCGGAUAAACUCUGCUGCAAGGAGUCGAGCCACCUCCUCGCCAAUGGCUUUUUUCUUCUGAAUGGCAGACUGUCGAAGAUGUUCUUUAACAAGUUUCACUUUUGAGUCGACUCUAAGGCAAUGCUCAGCCAGCCCCCUGGGAACACCCGGCAUGUCAGCUGGCUUCCAUGCAAAGAUGUCCCAGUUCUCACGGAGGAACUGGAUGAGCGCUUCUUCCUAUUUAGAGUCGAGUGUUGUGGAAAUAUGGGUCAGAGCUGCAUUGGGGUCAGUCAGGUGGAUAUGAACUGGCUUCGUCUCCCCUGACGACUGGAACGCUGACUCUGUGGCGGGCUUCUUGGCCCGCAGCAAAUCACUCGGAUCUGCAUUUUUCUUGUAUCCUUCCAGCUCUACCACUGUUAUCUGGGCAUCCGCAAUCUUCGAGCCUUUCUGGAAACACUCUUCUGCCUUCUUCCGGCUGCCAGUGAUAGUGAUCACUCCUUUGGGGCCAGGCAUCUUUAAUUUGAGGUACACAUAACAUGGUCGAGCCAUGAAGCGGGCAUAGGCUGGUCUUCCCAAAAUAGUGUGGUAAGCGCUCUGGAAAUCCACGACUUCAAAUGUCAGCUUCUCUUUGCGGAAAUGCUUCGAGUCGCCGAACACUACAUCCAAAGCUAUUUGACCGAGUGACUCAGCCUUCUUUCCAGGAAUGACUCCGUGAAAACUCAUGUUGCUGGAGCUGAGUCUGGACAUCGGAAUGCCCAUUCCCUUGAGCGUCUCUGCAUACAGUAUAUUCAACCCACUGCCGCCAUCCAUCAAUACCUUCGUCAGUCGAGUGCCUUCGACGACUGGGUCGACCACCAGCGCUUGCCUCCCAGGGGUGGCAAUGUGAGUAGGGUGAUCGGACUAGUUGAACAUAAUGGGAGUUUGCGACCAUUUCAGAUAGCUUGGUGUCGCCGGGGCGACCAUAUUUACCUCUCGGUUGAUCACUUUCAGUCGACUUUUGCUCUCUACAUCAGCAAAAAUCAUCAGGGUGGAAUUGACAUGAGGGUACCCUCCAUCACUGUCCUCCUUGUCCUCGGCCUUGUCCGACUCCUUCUCUUUGUCCUUGGGUUGUUUUCCUUGAAACUGCUGGAUUAAGAGCCGGCACUGGCGAGUGGUAUGUUUCGGGUAGAUGAAGUUACCCUCUUCGUCUUUCUUCGUGUGGAUGUGACACGCUAGAUCUAUCACGUCAUUUCCUUCUUUAUCCUUUACCUUCUUGGGGUUCCAAGAUCCUUUGGGCUUCCCUUUGAAUUUUCCCUGAGUCACGGCCAGAGCCUCUCCAGGAGCAGCUGGCUCGGCCUUCCGCUUCUGCUUCCGACUGGAGUUUCCUUUUUCCGAUUGACUCGGCUUAUACUUGCCACUCCGGAGCCUGUCCUCUUCUUCACCGUUAGCGUAUUUGGUAGCAAUCUCCAUCAUUCGACUCAGGGUCAUAUCUCCGGUUCGACCAAACUUCAGGCUCAACGCUCUGUUCUUGACACCAUCCUUGAAGGCGCAUGCCGCUUGAUGGUCCGACACAUUCUCCACGGUAUGAUGCAAAGUGAUCCAUCUCUGGAUGUAAUCUCUCAAUGUCUCACUCGACUUUUGUACGCAGACUUGCAGCUCGGUCAAUCCGGCCGGUCGCUUGCAAGUUCCUUCGAACGUCCUGACGAACACUCAGGAAAGAUCUUCCCAGGUGUAAAUGCUGCUAGGAGCUAACUGAUUCAACCACGCCCUGGCCGAACCCUCUAGCAUGAGUGGCAAGUGCUUCAUGGCCACCUCAUCAUUACCACCACCAAUCUGUACCGCCACUCGGUAGUCUUCAAGCCAAGUUUCAGGCUUGGACUCUCCGGUGAACUUACUUACCCCAGUCGCCAACCUGAAGUUGGGGGGUAUCACUGCGGCUCUGAUGGCUCUGCUAAAGCAUUCUGGACCUGAAACAUGGACUCGGCUGCUAGUGGGCACAUCUCUGUCAUGGCCACCUCUAUGAGCUCUGUUCCAAUCGACCAAACCUUGCACGAUGAUGGAUCUCGCGUCAAAGCCUGGUUCUCUGGGGUCGACCGGAGCUCUCCGCACAACACUGAGCUGGCGCCUGUCAUCUUGCUGCCGAUGGGCGUUAGACCCACUUCUCGGGGGAGGAGUGGGCACUCGACGCCUAUCAUCACGAUCAAAUCGGUCAUCAUAGUGGUCCCGCCAGCCUUCACGUCCCACGCGCCUCGGAGGUGACCUUGGGCUGUGAGCCGACUAAACAGUAUUCGCAGCGACGGAUCGACUGUGAAUCCUGUUACGCGACUGUGACACAACUGAAUUCUGAUAUCCUGCCGCCCGGAGCAAAUCCCUGAUCUGCAUCAAGCCUCUUCCAGCCUCCGACUGAGAGGGCUGAAUUGACUCCGCUAUACGGGCUGCAGCUGCCAAAUUCGGAAUCGGGGUUUGAUAUACCUGAGUCGGUUGCGGAAAGAGCUGACGUCGGCUGGAGUCGGGUACUCGUUGACGCGCACGCUCGUCGAGUGCUCGCUGGAGGUUCUCCAGUCGAGUGCGUUCAGCCAAGUUGGCCAAACGCGCCUCUUCCAAAGCACGAGCCUCAGGAGUUUCUCCUGCGAUGGGAGUAUGCAAGGCAUCCAUGUUCCGGCGGCGAAGAUCUUCUCUUUGCUGAGAAGUGAGCGGCUCGGGCUGAUAUUCUUCGUGGGCCUGAGCGGGGUCGCCUCCAUCGUCCAUCCCGUCGAUGCGGGGGAAACCGGGAGGGCUACGAGGCCCGUUGACCAUCAGGACCUCCGCCGCUGGAUCACUGCUGUCGCACUCGGAUGCAGUCUCUACGGAGCCAGUCGACAGAUCGAACAUGCCGUAGAGAGAUUCGUCGGGCUCAAUUGCCGCAACUUGGGUGGUGGCCGAUUGGCGAGCCACUGCGUGUCUCACCCAUCGCUGAAGCCUCGACCGACCGGAGCGCUUGCGCUGGCGGGAGACAGGGAGGGAGGACGGCACAGGAGUCGACCAGUAUGGGGUUGACGGCUGCCGCAGUAGGACGCCGCGGACACACGCCCGAAAGUGCGUCGCCCCGCGGACGGGGAGCGCGUCGAUGUCGAGUGGUGCCUCCUGGAGCCAAACGGAGUCGUCGGCGAUGAAAGCGAGCGCACCGAGACGGAUCUCGCGGCCCUCGACCAGAGCUCCGCCAGAAACCAUGAUGAAGGCAAUCGGACAAAUUGCAACUUCUCCAAAAAGUCGCUAAGACACCUGCCCCACGGUGGGCGCCAACUGUCGUGGUUCUAAGUCUGACAGUAGAAUGGGGGGUAGGUAUGGAGAGGCAAGAUCCUAGCUAUGGAGUAGUUGUACACACGAGUGUUUUACGAGUUCAGGCCCUUCUCGGAGGAAGUAAUAGCCCUACGUCUCGGAGUCCGGAGGCGGUCGACUGGUUUCUGUAUAUAUGAGUUACCGGGGUGCGAACCCUUUACACUGAGGAGGGGGGUGGCUUAUAUAGAGUUCGCCAGACCCCUCCGGCCCUCAGUUAUGCAGGGUUUAAAGUACAUUAAGACAGGGGGUUACUGGUAACGCCCUCAUAAAGUGCCAUGAAGACUAUUAAAGCUACUUAAUGACAGACUGUUGCGUGUUGAGUGACUUUAGGUCUCCUGGCCGUCGAGUGGUUAGCUUCAUGGUCGAGUGGCUAUCUUCAUCGUCGAGUGUCCUUGAGUUCGUCGAGUGAAGUCCCUCUUGGUCGACUGGAAGGUAGCUUCUUCUAAGGAUGUCCUUGGGUAGGGUAUCCUAGAUGGGUCCAUGACCCUACCCUAGGUACAUGACUUCAUCACUGCUAUCAUAUGAUGCCCACAAGUACCAUGUGCAGUCUUCAUCACAUUUUGCUUUCACUCUUUUCCUACCAUUCACAGGAAGCUUGAUAUCAACUCUGUUCUGGCAGGAGUACUCUUUAAUUGCUUUCCUUAGAAGCUCCACACUCUCAAAAACCUGCCCUACAUGGAAUUUUGGCCUAUGAAGAUCCUCUGGUCUGAAAUUUUUGAACUUUAAAUGCAUUUCCUCAUCAUCAGAAUCAGGUGCCCACAAAUCUUCACCUUCAGACAAGUCUUCAUCUGAAUUGUACUGCUGCUUGCUUUUGUCUUCAUCUGUAGGUUUCACAUGCUUGACUUGCUCCUUUGAAUUAUUCUUAUGCUUCUGUUCUGGUUCAUCCUCAUCAACAUUAUCUGCAAACAAGUCAUCAUCAUCAUUGCCUAUCUCAUUGUCACUGUCCACAAGUACACCUGGGCCAUAGUCCUCAUCAUCUGUAUCACUUCCAUAUCAUGACUGCUUUUGGUCCUCCUACUUGAUGUGCUUCCUCCAACAUCCUCAUUUGCAACAGCUUGUGCAUCUUUCCCUGCUUCCACUUCAGGGUAUACAACCCGGAGAGGAGUAGGUGCUGCCUCUGGUCCUGCCUCUGGUUCUGCCUCUGCUUCCCCUGUUUCUGCAGUCAUGCUGCUUCCCACUCUCUUUGCAGGACUAAAUACUGGAGGCAAAGUGGCUCUAGGAUAGUUCACAACAUCAUCCUCACUUAGGUUUGCUUGUAAGCUCUCAUCAUGAUCAAGAUAUAUAGUAAAGGAGUGGUGCCCAAUAUCAAUAAACAUCAACAUUCUAUCUCUCUGCUCAGCAUCACUAAGCUGCCUGAGACCAUUAUUACUGAGUGUAAGGAUGGGGACACAAUAGUAUACCUUCAACCUCCCUGCCAUCUCAUAACCAAUCUCCUCAACAAGGUGUUCAAUCAUAAUUGGUGACCAAGUGACCUUUUCCAGAUUAUCGUACCAAAUGGCACGACCAUUAACAUAAGCACGAUUACUUCCAUGGCCAACAAAAAAUCCACCAUGGUUGAUUUGCACAGAGAAGUUGGUGCUUCGAGGGCCUGAUACACAAGACAGAAACAUCAUGCAUCAUAAUUGACUAUAGCAUCAUUUCAUUCAGAGUAUCUAAAACCCUAACCCCCAAAGACCAUCAAAUCCAAUACCGAAACCCUAGUACAAUCCAUCGAAACUACCAGCUGCAUACCAUCUAUAAUGACAAUGCGGGCCAAAAAGGAGUGUCUUUGAACAUCAAAACGCAAAAAAAGUCGGAUUUACGCAAGAUGAAACUUACUGUACACGGGGGGAGGCGCCCCUUCUGCGCGACGAACAGGGGCCAUCGCCACCACCUACCGCCGGUGGAAUUGAUGCGGCGGCGGCGCCUCUCCAGCCACGGAAGAAAUCAGCACGCGGCGGCGCCUGUAGGCCGAUGAUCGCCGGGGCGGCGGCGCCUAUGUAGCGCCUUCCCUGUCUCCAAUCGAAGACGAAGAGGCGUCGUCAGAGUAGGGAUGAUUGGGGGGAUUCGGACAUGCCCGAGGGGUUUUUCGCUUAUUAUGCACAGCGGCCGGUGCGCGGAUCGCCACCUGUCCCCAACGACUGGUCAACAGGUGGUCAAAGGAGCGGCUACUCACCGCAUAUGACCAACAGUGACGGUACAUUCACGUCACAUCGUAUAUAGUGACCGUAACAACCGUAUUUCUAAGUUCAGUGACCGUAUCGGGUUUUCGUCGCAACUACGCUGACCGUGAGUGUAAAGCGCUUCCCCUCACGCACUUCCGCGCGCGGGCGGGCUCGCCGCUCCUCCUCUCCGCGGACGCCACCUCCGCCGCGCGCAAGGGCUCCGGCGCGCCAGGUACUCCGCAUUCCUCCAUGGAAUCGCAGGCUGUUCUGCUCGGGGGCUAAUCGGGGGGAUUAUUUCGCCGUGUUUUUUUUUUGGGGGUAGGGAGGAGCAGGGCCUCGAGGUACGACGCGGGAGCGCCUCCGAGCAGAGCAGGUACACAGUGGCGGAACAGAUGUUUCGGCUUAGUUUUGCUGUUUGUUUCGUCAGUUACUCCGCAGGCUGCUUAUCUGAUGAAUCGUCGUGAAUUUUCUCCUUUUACUGAAGGGAGGGGUGGGGUCUGGAAGCGUCAUGAUCCGGAGGAUUCACCGCGCCGAACAGGUAACAAAAUGCUAGCACUAUGUUGGUAAAUUACUGUAUUUUAUCCCUGGCAUUUGUUACUCCAUAUUCAAAUUACUUUACACAUUCUUUUCCCAAAAGGGGGUUGACUCCGGCCUCUGCAUCAUUGUGAUGCACAGGGUGAUAAUUACUUUACACAUGUAAAAAAUUAGUAAAUAACCAAGGGCCUCACCUAAGGCGAGUUCAGGCUGUACCCCUCACCAGCCAUAUAUUUCUUUUGUGUGAAUACUGAAAGAUGCCUGUCUGAGUGAAUUAAUGUAAGAUAAAGCAAAGUACAAAAGCUGGGAAUGACCCCGUGAACAACAUGAUCCUCCCUAGUGUAAUACAGUAUUGUACUUCAUCUCUGUGUUAGGCUGAUUGUCUGAUCCAAAUCUCCUGUGCUUUUUAGGGAUGAAUGGAGUUCCAAAGCUUAAUCCCAAAUUCUCCACCAAAAGAGCAGGUAAAGAGCGCUCCUUGAAAUACUAUAGCUUAGUUCAUCACUUUAAUCAAAUUUCUGUGUUUCUUAGGGACGAGUAAGGUUCCGAUUAUUAAUUUCGAGGUUUCUCAUCACCGAGCAGGUAAAAUGUUAAUGUUAUGUUUUUUUAUUCUGAUAAUCAUAUUUGCUUCACCUGUAUGAAUCUCUGGUAAUGAUCUAAUCAUUCCUAAUGUUUGUGUUGUUGCCUUGUUGGAGCAGUUGCAGCGGUGAGGUUGCUAAGAGCUGACAAGGGGAAGGCAUUUGUUGAUCUUUUAAAUGAGAAAGCAAACGACUCUGGGGAAAAUGAGAUGGGCUAUGUAGAAAGGACGUUAGGGUUCAGUACACGGCAUUUGGAUGACAGGGAUAUAAGAUUGGUAAAAUUCAUAUAUCUCACAUGUUCAAAUGUUUGUUCUGUCUAUGAAUUUCAGUUUCUUUAGGGAUGCUUACACUAUGUUGGGUUAUUGCUAGGAAAUAGGGGUAUAAUGCUGUGAGAGAAACAACUCUUUUGUUGCAGCAGCAUAAUGAUGUUAUCUGUAUUUGAUGAACAUACAGCUAACUAGUUGUCAGUUUUGUUUCUUCACUUUCUUGUAUCACUAUGCCUCUGAUACAGGGUGUCAUGAUGAACAUAUUGCACAAAUGGCUCAGUAGCAGUGUAACAGUAUAACACACCUAAGACGACUUGUCUAUGCCUGCUUAGGAAUCCAAACCUUCUGAUUCUCUUAUGGUUGGAUUGUUAGGUUACUGUCAUAGUAGCUGGAACUGUACGUUGGAAAAGCUACAUUGAUUAUCUUAUCAUGUCACUCUAGUGAAGAGAAGGUGUUCGGCAACAUGGAACCGCUGCUGCUGCAGAUUUGUCCUAUAUUUCUUACAGCAUAUAAUCUCAUUGAAUACCAAUUGCAGAAGUUUACUCCUGCUUGUAAAAUAUUUGAGGUUAACACUUCUGAUUUCAGAUAUUGCGAAUUGGCUUCUUUGAAAUUCUCAAACUUAAUGUACCAGCUUAUGCUGUCGUUGAUGAGGUAUGUUGAAGUAUUUAACAUGUACUGGAAUUAAGUUAGCCCUUCGUUUGUUUUUUGGUUGACCAAAAAGUUAAAUGCGGCAACUGGUAUCUCUUAAUUAAAGUGAUUUCCUUCCUGUUUAUUUAAGUUCCAAAGAACAAAUGCGGGCAUGUGAUACUGAGCUCUUUUUCUUAUCAUUUCAUAAUACAAAAGUUACGCUAAAUGCUGUAGAUGGUUGUGUUGCUGUUCUCUGAUAGUUGGCAUGCUGGAUAUAAAUCAUUACGACAAUAGCCAGUAUGCUACACCCGAACCCCAAAAGGAUGAUGUGGUUAUGUUCCUGUUUUAAUAUCCUGAAGAUCUACCUUGUUACUGUUCUUUGUUAUAUGGUGGUUUUCAAACUUGGUGUGUCCAUUAUUUGAGGUUGACAUGUAGUAUUAUAUUAUUGUUGUCAGUUGUACUAAAGUCUGAAGCCAAUAUCACCAGACAAUAUAUUUGCUUUGUUUUCAAAAGGAACCUGAUAAUGUGUCUUGCAAACCGAAUUUUAGAAUGUAAGGCUCGCGAAAGUAGCUUUAAGGCCCGGUGCUGGGAACAUGGUGAAUGCGAUUCUGCGUAAACUUCUGUUACUGAAGGUAAAACCUGGUGUACUCAGACUAGUCAGUAGGGUUAUGCUGUAAGCCUGUAACGUUAUUGUGUUACUUUUAUAAUUAGGAGACAGAUUCUCUUCCUCUUCCAAAGAUAGAAGGUGAUGAUCGUGCCCAAGCUCGUGCUCUUUCCAUAAUUUAUUCUCAUCCUGUUGUAAGUUUGCUUUCCCAAGCUUUAGUUCUCAUCAUCUUGUAAGUUUGCUUUACUUCCUAAACUUAAUUGACUUCUGUUUUAAAAUUUUAAAGCGUCAAAUGCUUCGUUCGUACAAUCAAUAGGUUUACUGCACUGUUGAUAACAUUCGAAUUGAACUCAUGCCUGUUAUCAAUCAGUGUCCUUGUUAACUGGAGUAAUGUACCUGUGGGGAAUUCGGGAAGUGCAUGGAUGAACCCGGGUACAUAUGAACCCACUUUGAAAAACACAUUUCUACAUGGGGAAUUCAAUAUUUCAAUGUACUGCUAUUUCUGACGUUUCUUAAGAGCAUAAUAUAGGAUUGGUAGACAUGUUUUGUAAACUGUAAUAUGUUUUCUGCUCUGCAGUGGAUGGUGAGAAGGUGGAUUCGAUUUCUUGGAAAAGAAGAAGCUCUAAAAUUGAUGAAUUGGAAUAACAGUGACCCUCAUUUCAGUUUAAGGUUUCAAUUUUUAAGUGUGCUCUACUGCUCUUCUGUGAAUUGCAAAUUACCUGCUCAGCUGCUCUGUUUAUGCGUGUGUUUCUGAUUGACUGAUCUUUGUGCCAUAGGGUGAACACAACAAAUGGCUAUACAAGGGAUGAUCUUGUUAACCGAUUGGAAGAUUUGCAGGUACUUACGUUAAUUCUUAGUACCUGAGUUCCAUCCUAUUUAUGGCUAAGGUAGGAAAAAUAUAAGAGCCAUGCUAUUUAGCUACAUAUGAUUUAUCCAAUUUAGUAGUCAUGUUGGGGUCAUACUCUGCCUUGAUUAUUUGCACUGGAUUUCAUCGCUUGAUUUUCUUUUGUGUAGGUUCACUGCGAAAAGUCAAUUAUGGACGAAUUUGUCCGCAUUUUUGUGAGGGCAUGCAGGUAAGGAAGCUGAACAGUUAGUUCCGUGACCACUGCACAACUGGUGUUUGCCAAACCAAUGUGUUCUAUUCAUAUCCUCUUAAUUUCUUUCGGAACACAAUAUGUUUAGGAUGCUUAUAAAUAACAGUGUUCAAAGUCUUCUAAAUUGGAUGUGGACAAUAAGAUACCACACUUGACUUCAGUCCAAGGAAGUGAGACGCCGGGAGUGUAAAAAUUAAAUGUUUAAGAAAUAAAACUGAAAUACUGCAUUUCGAUACUAUUAGCUAGAAAGGAAAGGAUAGCGCUAUACUUCUGGUGCGGGCGCAUUGAAUAAAAAUUAAUAUUUAAGAAAUAAUGCUAUUGCUAUGGAGCACAAAGCACUACAAUCCAGCAUACAUUUCAUUUUAGAAAAUUUAGUUGUGUAUCAUACAAGUUCAUUUAUAUUCAAGAAGUAACCUGUGCAGCAUCUGUGGGCGCACAAUUUCCCCAAUUCGCCCUUAAUCCAUAAGAAACUCUAGUGAUUUCUAAUUGCAAUAUUGCAUUAGGUCUGCACCUUUUCUUAUAAUGCCUCUCGAGAUACUGGCUGGUAUCUUGAUAGCUUAAUUUCUUCCUUGCAGGCAGUCUUACAAGCUGGAUUACUGAAAGAAGGCAUGUGUGCCGUGCAGGAUGAGAGUGCAGGCAAGUCGUGAACGUUACUUGUUGACCACCUUUUAUUUAUUAUAAAUGGGAUUAUGGUAUCAAAUGAUUUUCACUACGACUACAUGCUGAUGUAGAAAGAACUAUUCACUAUUAAGCUUUAUAUUAUACUCCAUUACGUUAAGUAUUUACCCUUUUUCCUUAUACGGUUCCAAGUCUUGGUAACAACAGCAAGUUUCAUUGAAGAUCGCUAUAGAUAACCCGCACUAAGAUUUACAGAACCUAUUGCAGGUUUUGUUGUGUCUGUGGUCGAUCCACAACCUGGGGAAACAAUCAUGGAUUGUUGCGCUGCACCUGGCGGGAAGACUUUGUUCAUGGCAUCCCGGCUGGCAGGACAAGGUGAGAGAUUGGAAUGAGGGAGUUCAAUUUUAUGUUGAUAUUGCGACUGGAGAACUGUGGGACCUUGUGCUAGUGUCUAUCUUUUCCUUUCUGGCCAUGCAUCUAUAAUGUGUUUUUGUUAGUAUGCUAUGAUUUUUGCGAAAGAACUUGUGAGCAAAAUGCUCAAAUGAAUCACUUUUCAUAUGUUAUUCUUGACAGCCUGCUCAGGGUGCUAUGCACCGCCGGCAUAAUCGGUUGUUAUGACCUAGUAACGUGUGCCAGUGUCUGCCGUUGUUAGCUUAAUUUGUCAGAUAUAAACAUAGUUAAAAAAGGCGCGCCUAAGCGAGCGCUUAAGCGCGCCUAGGCUCUAGGCGUUGGCAAAACGCAUUGCGCAUAACUACGCAUAAUCUGUGCAUAACUGCGCAUAAGCAUGCGCUUUGGUCAGUAAAGCGCAAGGCGGUGGCAAAACGCACAAUUAACGCCUAGCGCUUUUUUGAACUAUGGAUAUAAAUCAACCAAUGUAUUACAUUUAUGUCCUUCAAAUGUCGCAUCUGAUGCUAUUUAAUAUGUAGCAUCUGAUGCUAUUUAAUGGGUAGCCGGUAUAAAAAUUCUUCACCUUUCAUCUCCACUGAAAACCAGCAUUUGUGAACGUAUACAUUCCACACCAACAAGAAAAUAGUACUCACAGGUCCAGAAUAAUUAAGUUCUAGCAGAUCUGAUCUUGUUAACACAUUAUGUCAUCGAUGCAGAGCGAGCUUCUAAGUCUGGAGUACAUAGUAUACUUGACUUGAUGAUGUGCUAUUAUACAGGGAAGGUAUCGGCUCUUGACAUAAACAAAGGCCGCUUGCAAAUUCUCAUGGAGGCAGCAAAGUGCCACAAUCUUGAUGAUAUAAUCAGUGAUAUCCAUGGUGAUCUUCGACUAUAUGCUGUAAGUUUCCAAGAAACUUCAUAAUUACUAGUCCCCAAAAGGCCUCAAAAAGAAAGAGGAAGCCCCGUAUAUCCAAGAAUAAUGCACCGCCAGUGGAAAUAUUUAUCAGGAAUAUGCCUAUUGACUAUUACGGACUUAUGGUUAAUGUUUUAUCCACACAUAUGAUAAGGAGGCUUAUGCACAUGAGACUUGUAUUGCAGAAGGAAAGCACUGCCAGACAAGGUAUUGUUGGAUGCUCCAUGCUCUGGGCUGGGAGUCCUUUCCAAGGUAGCUCUCUUUAUCAAGUUCACUAUUUUCGAGAACUUCACCAUCACAGAGCGUUGUACUGAUCCGAAUCUGGAGUUACAAGUUGGCAAAUUUUGUGAUGAACUAAAGUCACCUUUUCUGUUCCCAAGAGGGCAGACUUGCGUUGGAAUCGGCAAUUCGAAGAUCUGGAGGAGUUGGUGUGUUUGCAAGAUGAGCUCCUUGAUUCGGCCUCAUUGUGAGAUUCUUGCUGUUAUAAGUUUUUAAAAUUUUGUGCAAGCAAAUUCAUCUUGACUGCAUCUAAGAUUACUUUCAAUGACUUUACUUGCAGGUUGGUAAAACCUGGUGGUAUACUAAUAUACAGUACAUGUUCCAUUGACCAUGAAGAAAAUGAGAACCGGGUUACUGCUUUUGUUCAGAGGCAUCCGGUACGAGUUCAUAUUUAAAUUAUGCAUCGAUCCUUCAGGCAUCGAUCCUUCACAAAAUAUACAAACUCAAUAUUCAAUUGAUCUAGGCAAUAUGUCUGUCCUUACAAUUCGGGGUCCUGUUGGUAACUUGGUACUAUUAAGCAUGUACAUUGUUUCUCCCCAAGUAUUAUUAUCACCAAAAUUCUACUCCCUCCGGCCACGACAAUAAUUAUGGAACGGAGGAAUCAAGGCUGCUAAAGACUUCGCUUUCUCUUCAAUCUCAACUAUGCUCUCUUGUGUUUUGUCCUUGAUUCCUCCGUUCCAGUCCUCCUUGUAGUCUUCGGUGAACCUCCUUCCGCAAAGGAUCUCCCUUCUGUGGAAACAUCCAGUGCCAACAUACAUAGGACCGCCCACACUGUCCAUACCACCCAUUAGCACCUUUAGAUUGGGUAGCUAUGUUAGUGGCAGAACAUACAUGCAUAAUGAUUGCUCAUAUUGUGGAGAACAUGAGAACGAAACUGAAGUUACAGUUUGACACCGCUGACCUGAUUGGUGACUUGGUGGGAGUUCCCAUAUAUAUUAUUCUUGGUCAAAUUGUUAUAGUUCUGGGGGAAUUGCACAAAUCCAAUCUUGUGACCCAUUUCUUCAUCAAGGAAGAAACACAGUGCAUCUCUGAUUGUAUCGCAAUUGUUGGAAUACAUAUCACAGUCCACAUUCAUGAUGAUAGGGCUGUUGCUUAUCACUGAUGACACUCUUAUCUGCAUUUCAAUAGAAAAAUUGUCACAUUUUAGAACUAUUCAUUAUGAUCAUAGAAUUCCAACCUUUCAUGGAACACUUGUGAAUAAGUUCUUUUCAUUUCACGCUCUAUUUUGUGCCUUGGUUUUCGUUUGCUAUUUUGCUUGUUUUCAUUGUUGGACGACACCAUCUUGGCGAUUCUUGUAACACAAAUGAUGUGCAAUUGGAUGCGCUUUUGAGAAAAAAGGUCUAGCGGUAGGGAACAAGUUAUUGUUUAUAUCUAAAACCAACAUAUUUUAAGCUCACAUCCAUUGCAUGUAUUUCACAAAAUGCUAGUACUAAAGAAGUGGAGAGUUUUGCACUCCCUCAACUCUACAAACAAUCCAAUGACACACAAAAUGAAUUAUUAUGGUGUGAACUCCAUGGUACAAUUUUCUCAAAGGACAAGAAAUUGCAUGACAACAUUUUGCUAAUUUGGUUACUCUUGCAAACAUUACUGUUUACUUAAACUUCAAAAUUAUGAAUUAGAAUAUGUUGCAACUAAUAUGCUGCUAAGAAUCAGUAUAAGAAAAUGGGCUAAUGAAAACUAUAAAGUUUACUAUAAAUUGUAUGCUUGGUAUGAUGGGGCAAGGUUAGUGAGUGCACCAGAGCAUUCAUUGCCCCAGCUUUGAAAUUAUGGUGGUGCUGAGGCCGCUUCUCCCGUGCCAUGUACACAAGUGUUGGUAGCACAUUUCCUUCGUCAUCAUUUGCAUUUUUGUCUUUGCCCUCCAUCAGAAUCUAGCAAAGGAAAGAAUUAUAUAACUUGAAACUCCCAAAUAACAUGCAAGUUAUUUACCCCAGAAUCAUGCAAACCUUUACUCAAAUUUGGAGGGCAGGAAAGCUACCUGAACAAUUGGCUGGUGAUUUUUUGAGGUAUUUUCUUGAUCCCAUUCAUGAAAUCCUUUAUGAUUUGCUUUGACUUCCUCUGAAAUUUUACCUGACAAAACAGCUCUAUCAAUUCGCUGAGUUAUAUCUUCAUACAUCUCCUGCCCAAAAAUGAAAAAAAAAGUCAGUUGUCAUGCCAAAUGCUGAGCACUAGGGGUAGACUGCGCUUAACAUUAAGCAUCUUAUCUAGUCACAUGUGUGUGUCAUGCCGUUCCCUGUGUAAUAGCCAUUUGAUUACAUGUGUUAAAGAAAAUAUGUUUGGAAAAUCUGCUUACCCUGAUAAGUGACCAUUCCUUUGGGCUGCACAAAUCUUGAUGCCCAUCUGACUCUGAGAAGUAAGCGGCUGGUGACCUUGGCUCAAUGUUAUAUCUCUUGCAGAAUGGUAUCCAAUGCUUUGCAAAUAAGGAGGCCUCCCACAGAGCAUAGAAAGUGAGAAUCGAACCUCCGUCGUCAGAAAGGUACACACUAAUUUUUUCGGCUGGGUAAUUGUAUGCCAUGAGCGAUAGGAUGGUGGAGAUGACAAGACUUGGUGGCUCUGAGUGUGGAUCUGCGGUGCAUACAAAGAUAUCCACAUAAGGUAGCCUCUCUCCAUACCUUCUCCAAAUGACAUAGUAACUGUGUUAAUGCUCAGUGCGGGAAAUACAUGUUUUAAAGCAGUAGAACCUUACACUUGACACUCUUAUAAACCUUCAAAACAAGUCCCUACUUUGGAUCUUGUUUUGGCAGAAAUGAGUCUGAAGUACUCACUCCCUGGUUUAUGGGUUGAGCGUUUAAGGGUGUCUCGAAAUCUAAACAGAUGACGGAGAUGGACCCUUUAAACCGCAAAAAUAAUAAUAUUGAUAUAGGUCCCUUACACCCAUGUGUCUUGAAAUCUAAACAGAUGAUGGAGAUGGACCCUUUAAACCGCAAAAAUAGUAAUAUUGAUAAGCCCUUUAAACCACCACUUUUUUUUUCUUGAGAUAAGCCCUUUAAACCGGAAAGGAGGGAGUAUCUACCUUCUUUUCUAUAGAAAAGGCCUCUCAGUCUAGCUUAUUAAUUUACCUUCUAAGUUAGUGAUCUCUGAUCAUCAAUGUAAGCCCUGUGGCGGUGGCAGAACUAUAAACCUGUGAUGUCAACUAUAAUUACUCCCCAAAUCUUAUAGUAUUUCUGAAUUUAUCCAUGAAAUUUUACUUGUACAUUUAGACGGUUUUGAUCAAAAGCUGUGUAGUCAGUUGACUACACAACCAUAGUGUGGCUUAACCCUUUGUACAGCUGACAACGGUGUAAAACUGCCUCCUAGGAGGAUGUAAAUUCCCUAUCUUUCCAAUGCAAUGAGACGCAAAGGCCAUUUGCGUUUUCUCGAAAAAAGCAUCAAACUUUUGUCUAAUUUGUUAACAGAAAGACAGUUCUGUUAUCUGGCCCGCGUAGCUUUAAAGCUAGCCUAAUGUAGAUUCUCAGUGCACUUAGUGUUGUGUGGUCUGAAACUCAUAGGCUACCAUCUCGUUGAAGUACAACAUAUUAAGAAAUAAGAAUAACGCAGAAGAUAACUAAAUUUAAACUGCAAAAAUAUCUUACAUUAAGCUCAUACUAUGCAAAACACCCGUUAGAAAUUGCCCGCUGUGUUUUGUUAAAUCUGGUACAUUUCUUUUCUUGAAUAUAUGAUUCAUUAUUGUGAGUUUUGACACUGGUCUCGUGUACCUAACUGACUUCAAGAGCUUCAAGAAAAUCAGCCAACAUGCUGAAAUAUGCGGCAUGUUCAUAGCACCUAUAGCAGACAGCCCGGACAUGGCGCAGACAUGAGAGAAGAAAAAAUGUCAUCCAACCGGACCCCAUAAAUUGACUCGUAUAUCUAGACAGUCAUCGAAUCCUCAAACUUAACCCAUAUAUGAGAGAAUAUGAGGGUGUCCAGUUGUCUAGGCAGUCCGCCAAUCAUAUGGAUUAGACCAACUCCAUCCGAACAAUUUGAGGGACAUAUUGCGUGCGCGGAUAAAAUGUGGGUUCAAAAUAAACACGUCCGGACACUAUCCGAACACGUCCGCGAGCGUAAGAAAGGGGCAGAUUUGACCAUUGUGGUUGUAUAUGCUCUCAUCGUUUAUGCUCAAAAAAGCAAGUUCGCUGUUUACACUAUUGACCUGGUGAGUGGUGGCAAGGCAUGUAUGUCACAAACUCACAGUCCGGGCGGUGUACAGGCUAACAAAUAGUAGGCGUUACUGUCAGCUCCAUCACCAUCGCUGGACUAGUUUGGCUUUUAACAGUCUGUCUAUAUCAAAAAUAUACGCGUAUAAAAUCUGAAAUUUUGGAAGAAAAAAAACCAAGUUUUUGUCGUGACACAGCCGGAGCUUACAGCCCCCGGACGUCGUACUGACCUGGCGGCGAGCCUGUCCCUGUAGGGGCGGCGGCGGAGGGGGCUCCAGCGCACGGACUGCGUGACGGCCCAGUAGGCGGCGUACCAGAGCUCCGCCGCCAGCAUGCCCAGCCACGCCGCCUCCCUUCGCCGGCGGCCGGCACGCGCGUCGCCCGGUAGUAGAGCACCAGCAGUAUCCCGGCGGCCACCGUGACGGCGUGGUGCCUGUACACUGCCCGGCCCCCGUUCGUCUCCGUCUCGAACAGCCUCCUGGUCCUCUCCAUCUUCCAGUCUCGCCUGUCGCUCUCUCAGUCUUUUGUCAACUCCUGUAGAUGAUGGACAGGAGCACACGCAUGUAGUGAGGGCCCUGUUCGGGAGGAUCUGGAACUCCUAUAGUUGUUGUGGACAGCCGACCAGGUGGAGGCGUGGACCUCCCCACCCCUCACUCCACUGGUUUGGUUGACUGAAUUGCCCGUCCCACUGCCCACUCCACGCGCGCGCACACACACCCACCCACAUGGCCACACCCCGUGGCCCCGUAGGGCAUCUCCAACACGACUCAUCAAAUCACCUCGACCCGAUAGUUCAAACACUUUCGGACCUUUAAUGCGGACACAUAUUUUAGGUUGGACCUGUUCGGACAUCCGAAAUUCCAAUGCCGGCCCCAAAUUGGGGGUGGAAGAGUUUGAACAUUCGCUGCCUCGGCAUCUGACAACCUGGACCCACCUUUCCCAUGUCUAGAACCCUCAGCAUUGAUGCCGCUCUCACCGGCUCGUCGCCUACCUGCAUUCAAGCCUGGUCGGCGCGUCGCUCGAGAAGCCUACUUCAGCUUUAAAGUCAGUCAACCUCCCCUUUCAAACCCUAUCCUCACUCAGUCCUCCCCAUCUCCCAAAUCUGCUGCACAUCGUACCUGUAAGUGCAUCUAGUGCCACCCCUAAUUGGUUUUGGAGUAUUGACGACAAACCUGGUUGAGGGACUAAUGUGUUUGUGAGAAUUGCGGGAUAACACAGGUAGUAGUCCCUCAUUGAUUCGAUUUACCUACCGGAGAUGACCCCUAAAAAUGUGUGAAGACAUUGAAGACAAUGGUAGUCUGUGAAGAUAUUCAUAUUCAAGACUAUGACAUGAGAAGACAUUGAGUGAAGACUAUGGAACGCGAAGACUUAGUUGUUUCGUUGUUUCCUUUUCUUCUUUGUUGAGUCAUAGGAACCACCGCACUGUUAAGUGGGGUCCUAGUGAACAAAGUCAGAGUGACUAAAGUGAUGCUCAAACAAAUCCUAUGUCUUCGAGCGAAGACAAUGAGAGCAAAUCUUAUCCAGAGUCGGAUAAGUCAGCUUUACUUGUAGCCCAAGUCAAGCUGCCACGUGUGUUUGAAAUCUGACCGUUGCGACACGUGUCAGUUCCUUAGUGACCCAGGGUCAUUUCGGACAAAUCAGGUCGGGUUGCCCUGUGGCUAUAAAUAGCCCACCUCCUACACCAUAAAUUGGUGGCUGCUCAGAGUUAGAUACGGCUUUUGUCGUUUGAGAGCAACCCACCUCCGAAGCUUUUGAGAGAGAAUCCUUGCGAGGAUAAAGCCCAAACCACCCAGAGCCCAGAGUGUGUUUGGCAUCACUGAAGUCUUUUUGUCCGCGUGAUCUGAAGACUUGUUACACUUGAGGACUGUGAAUCCUCCAGCCGGUUAGGCGUCACGUUCUGAGCAUCCAAGAGUCAUUGUGUAUUGCCGGUGAACGAAGUCUGUGAAGGUUUGGAAGUCUACCUUGAAGACUUACCUAAGUGAUUGGGCGGGGACUAGGUGUCCUUAGCUCAAGGGGAAUAAGGUGAAGACACGGUCUUCUGAGUUGAAUCUCAGCCUCCCUAAUCAGACGUACAGUUGUCACAUCAACUGGAACUGGUCGAACAAACCACUGUCUCCCUGAAGCUACUUGUUCUAUCUCUCACUUCUCUUUACUUAUCGUUUGUCUUCGUGAAGUCUUUGCCUGAUUGCAUAAUCUGUUUGACUUCACAGUUUGACUACUUGUCCUGAUUGGCUUCAUACUAUCUUCCACCCUGAUCCUUACUACCUAGCUGCUAAUAGUCUUCGUGCUUUCACUUCAUUGAAUACUUGACUAUGGCUUGUCUAGUGUAGUCUACCUUUCGCUGCAUACGAAUAGUGUUGUUUCUCCUGUUUGUCUUCGAAACUCCCAUGUUUUGAAGACUUUCAUAAAAAUCGCCUAUUCACCCCCCUCUAGUCGAUAACUAGCAUUUUCAAUUGGUAUCAGAGUAAGGUACUCCCUUGUUCUGUGUGAUUCGGUUUAAUCACCUGAAGUUUUAGCUACAUCGACUGCAGGGAUAAUCAAGGUCUCCGCUGCGUGUGAUGGCACUGAAUAUCCCUACUGGAAGAAUAGGAUGCGCAUGCAUCUUGAAGCCAUUGAUGUCGAUCUGUGGUAUGUCAUCAAGAAUGGCGUUCCCAAGACUGGUGAAGGUGUCACCCCCGCUGAUGUGAAGAAGUUCAUUCAACUGGACUCUACCGCCAAGAACAUCAUCUGUGGUCAUCUGACCAAAGGGCAGUAUGGCCAUGUGAGCGCUUUGGAAACGUCGAAGCUAGUCUGGGACUGGCUCUCCAAGGUCAAUGAAGGCGUCUCAACACAGCGUAAUCAACGAAUCAGUACUCUUCGCAACCUCUUCAACCGCUUCAAAAGACACGACAACGAGAACGUCCAGCUCACGUUUGAUCCCCUCACCGAUAUUACCAAUGAGCUCCGUGCACUCGGUGCAACUGACAUUACGAAGCAUGAAAUUGUGAAGACACUGCUGAGAUCUCUUGACAGCUCAUUUGACACCUUAGCCCUGAUGAUACAAGAACGCCCUGAUUUCAAGACACUUGAUCCGUCUGACAUACUCGAGAGGCUCAACACACAUGAGUACCAGCUAUCUGAGAAACGAGAUAUCUAUGGCCCCAACUACGGCCGAACUCGUGCCUUGAAGGCAAAGGCUGCGGCUUCCUCGUUUGGAGAAGAAUCUGACUGCAAUUCUGAUGAUCCUGAAGACAUUGGAAAGGAGCUUGCUAUGCUUGUGAAGAAGUUCCAGAGAUUCACAAGGAAGAAGAACUUCAGAAAGUCUUCACGAUCCAGCUCAAGGGACGAUGAAGCUUCUACCUAUGACAACAAGAAAAGAACCUGUCACAAGUGCAAGAAACCUGGCCACUACAUCUCUGAAUGUCCACAGUGGGACAAUGAGAAGAAGUAAAAGAAGAGCAAAGAAUAUGAUUUUGAUGACAAAAAGAAGAAGAAAUCCUCAAAGUCUUCUUCCAAAUCUUCCUCUAAGUCUUCAUCACACAAGAAGAUCUCGUCAGGCAAAGCACGUGCUUUUGUUGGCAAGGAAAUGGAUUCAGAGGAGGAGUCUGCUUCUGAGGAGGAAGUGGUGGAGUCUGAGGAGGAGUCUGACUCCGGUGUCGCAAGUAUGGCUCUAGCUACAGCCUACGUCGCCAAGUCCAUCUUCAACACUGAAGACAAUGACUCCGUCACCAACACUAAUGACGAGAACGACUCAACUCCCACCUACUGCUUCAUGGCACGUGGUGCCAAGGUAAACUCUCGCGAUGCUUACUUUCAAACAUCAAGUGAAGAUGACUCUGAUGGUGAUUCCAAACCUAGCUACAAAAAACUUGCUAAAACUGCAACUGAACAGCAGAAUGCCAUGGAACAUAUUCAAAAACUAUUAGACAAAAGCAAUGACAUGUUGGACGCGGAAAUGACUAAGACUCGGUCCUUGAUUGAAGACAUAAAAAAUCUUCAUGUUAAGUACCAGGAACUUGAAGGUCGUCAUGAAACCCUCUCAACAUCUCAUGAAAAGCUUUCCUACGAUUAUCUUCAAAGGAAGCAGGAACUUGAGAAAUUGAGAUCGGAUGAUGAAGAUCUUCAAAAAGAGAACGAGUCACUUCACGCUCAACAGAUCAGUCCCGCUCAGGAAGGAUUUGAACCACCAUGUCUAAUAUGCAUUGAGCGUGAUAACGCUGCCUCUGUUGCUGAAUGUUCUACUGCUACUCCUGUUGCAAUACCUUCAACUGAUGAUGUGGUAACUAACCCCUCUAUUGAGGAUACCACCACUAUUGUUGAUGAGAAUGCCAGGUUGAAAACACUGCUUGAGACAGGGAUGUACAAAAGCCUCAAAGGGCAUCAGACAUUAUGUGAUGUCCUCAAAAAGCAGAUUCUGAACCGAAACCCUAGAAAAGAGGGUGUUGGGUUCGAGAGGAAAAUGAAUGUUGAUGGGUCGUACUGGAAGCCUGAGCAGUACCCCAAAACUACCUAGGUUGCUGCAAAGGAACCUCCAGCAGAUCCAUCCACCUUAUCUGGUUUCACUUGCGCUAACCCUAUUAUCAUUGAUGAAUCCUUUGAUGCAAACUAUAAAUUGUUUAAGAAUCUGAAUGGCGAAGUGUUUGCCAGGUAUAUUGGUACUAACUGCAGGAAUGGGUCACCUAUGAAGAAGAUAUGGGUACCCAAGAGUUGCCUUGAGAAUCUUCCUGUGAAUGCCAUCACGACGCCACCUGUGAAGAAGACAAACCCCCUACCAAAGGUGUCAUACGUUCCAAAAGCUUCAUACAGACCAAGGACUCAUCUGAGUCACCCUAACUCAAUGUUUUGCAGGAAAAUCAUACUCAGACCCAUGAAUAUGAGCAUGUUUCAUUAAACCGCUAUGUUCAUAGAACCAAGAACUUUUCUGCUUAUUCAUAUGAGUAUUAUUCACCCCCUGCAAGGCUAUUUACUAGGGCUCAGAAGCCAAAAUUCUCAGAUGCUGCACUUAGACUCAUUGCUUCUAAGCCACCCCUGAAGAUGUGGGUGGUUAAGAAAACUUAACUCUCUUUUGCAGGGAAGGUCUCUAGUCGGAAAUCAAAAGCAUCCGAAGCUAAUGCUGGAGACCUUAAAAUCUUGUUGGGCGCAAGAUAAAAUGCCUAAAUAGUCUUACUAUGUAUUCCAUUCCAGAUUUUCUUGAUACUCAUCCUGUCUAUCCUAACCAAGACCUGAAUUUCCAUGUUCCACUUGCUCAUUAAAUGUUUCUGCUUCACAACUCGCUUGGUGAAGCCUAUCCCCCAAACUGCAUUGUAGGCUACGACACCUUGUGCUUCAGAAUGGAUUAUGGACAAUGGAUGCACUAAUCACAUGACUGACGAUCGAAGUCUUCUGAUGGAUUCAAUGCUGCGUCCAUCAGACAAAAGCCACAUCACAUUUGCUGACACUGGUAAAAGUAAGGUAUUGGGUCUAGGUAGAGUAGCAAUAUCAAGGGAUCAGCACAUGGAUAAAGUGAUGCUUGUUGAAUCCCUUGGUUUCAACUUAAUGUCUGUCUCAAUGCUUUGUGACUUAAACAUGAUUGUGCUAUUUGGAAAAUAUCGCUGCCUUAUACUGAUGGAAUCUAACAAGUCUCUAGUCUUUGAAGGAUAUCGAAAAGGUGAUCUGUAUAUGGUAGAUUUCUCAGCAGGUCCACAGAUGGCCGUAUGUCUUCUAGCAAAAGCUUCAGAAUGCUGGCUUUGGCAUCGAAGGCUAGGACAUGCUGGCAUGAGGAACUUGCACAUUCUCGUGAAGAAGAAGCAUGUUGUGGGCAUCGAAGGCGUCAAGUUCAAGAAGGAUCAUUUGUGUGGCACCUGCGAAGCCGGGAAGAUGACAAGAGCCAAGCAUCCCUCAAAGAUAAUCAUGACCACGUCUCAAUCCUUCGAGCUGCUGCACAUGGACUUAUUUGGCCCUACUCACUAUUCCACUCUCAAUGCUACUGCUUGCCUCUAUGGCUUCAUCAUUGUUGAUGAUUACUCUCGAUACACUUGGGUGCAUAUAAUCCUCUACAAGACUGAAGUGCAGGAUGUCUUCAGACGCUUUGCCAACCGUGCCAUGGCGAACUACGGUGUCAAGAUCAAGCACAUCAGAAGCGACAACGGCACUGAGUUCAAGAACACCGGCCUCGACCUCUACCUGGAUACCAUGGGUAUCACUCAUGAGUUCUCUGCUCCAUACACAUCUCAGCAGAAUGGCAUCGCCGAGCGCAAGAACAGAACUCUUAUUGAGAUGGCCCGAACGAUGCUUGAUGAGUACAAGACUCCACGGAAGUUCUGGCCCGAAGCCAUUGAUACUGCUUGUCACACCAUCAACCGCGUUUAUCUUCACAAGCUUCUGAAGAAAACAUCCUAUGAGCUCCUAACUGGUAAGAAACCCAAUGUAAGCUACUUCAGAGUAUUUGGUGCUAGGUGCUGGAUCAAGGAUCCUCAUCACACUUCAAAAGUUUGCACAGAAAGCACAUGAAGGUUUUAUGCUUGGUUACGGAAAAGAUUCGCACUCCUACAGAGUCUUCAACCUCUUUCACUAUAAAGUGGUUGAAACUGUGGAUGUGCAGUUCGAUGAGACUAACGGCUCGCAAAGAGAGCACCUACCAAAUGUUUUUAGAUGAGUUAUCCCCUAGCGAGUCAAUCAAGUAAAUGGGAACUGGUGAAAUCAUACCCUCUGAGAAUCAGGCUGAAGAAGAACUGAUCAUUUCUGCACCUGAUCAACCUGAAGACAAUGCUCAGCCUGAAGAUAAUCCUCCAAAUGAUGACAUUGAUCAGAAUGAACAGAAUCUUCGUCCUGCUCACCCUCGUGUUGCAAAUGAAGUACAGAUUGAGAAGAUGAUCGAUAGCCUCAAUGCACCUGGUCCACUCACUCGUUCAAGAGCCACACAAAGAGCAACACAACUCACCAAUUUCUGUGGACACUUUGCAUUCGUCUCAAUCUCAGAACCCAAGAAAGUCACCGAAGCCUUUAUGGAAUCUGAAUGGAUUCAAGCAAUGCAAGAAGAGUUUCAACAGUUUGAGUUGAACAAUGUGUGGGAACUGGUCAAGCGUCUUGAUCCUCGGAAGCACAAUAUCAUUGGCACCAAAUGGAUAUAUCGCAACAAGCAAAAUGAACAUGGUCAGGUGGUCAGAAACAAAGCUCGUCUAGUUGCUCAAGGCUACACUCAAGUGGAAGGGAUUGACUUUGAUGAAACUUUUGCUCCUGUGGCAAGGCUUGAAGCCAUUCGCAUACUGCUAGCCUAUGCAAAUCAUCACAACAUUCUCCUUUAUCAAAUGGAUGUGAAGAGUGCUUUUCUCAAUGGAAAGAUAGAAGAAGAAGUAUAUGUUGCACAACCUCCUGGCUUUGAAGAUCCAAAACAUCCUGAUAUGGUGUACAAGCUCAACAAGGCACUGUAUGGCCUCAAACAAGCCCCUCGCGCUUGGUAUGAUACACUCAAAGACUUCCUGAAGAGCAAAGGCUUCAAACCUGGUUCACUGGAUCCUACCCUCUUCACGAAGACUUAUGACAGUGAACUGUUUGUGUGCUAAAUAUAUGUGGAUGACAUUAUCUUCCGCCGCACCAACAAGAAAUACAGUGAUGAGUUUGGUCAUAUGAUGCAAGAGCAAUAUCAGAUGUCCAUGAUGGGUGAACUAAAGUUCUUUCUAGGUCUCCAAAUCCGUCAGCAACGCAACGGCAUCUUCAUUUCUCAAGAAAAAUAUCUCAAAGAUUGCCUAAAGAAGUUUGGAAUGCAAGACUGCAAAGGAUACACGACGCCAAUGCCAACCAAAAGUCAUCUGGGUCCCGACGACACUGGUAAAGAAUUCGACCAAAAGGUAUACCGCUCCAUGAUUGGUUCUUUGCUUUAUUUAUGUGCAUCUAGGCCAGAUAUAAUGCUUAGUGUUUGCAUGUGUGCCCGAUUCCAAGCGGCACCAAAGGAAUCGCAUCACUUACCAGUGAAGCGAAUACUUCGAUAUUUGGCUUACACCCCAACACUAGGAUUAUGGUAUCCAAAGGGCUCAGAGUUUGAUCUAGUUGGAUUCUUAGAUGCUGAUUAUGCUGGUGAUAAGGUUGAUCGCAAGUCCACAUCAGGCACAUGUCACUUUCUGGGACGAUCACUUGUCUGUUGGUCUUCAAAGAAGCAGAACUGUGUAUCUCUCUCCACUGCUGAAUCCGAAUACAUUACUGCUGGAUCUUGCUGUGCUCAGCUUCUCUGGAUGAAGCAAACUCUCAAGGACUAUGGUAUACACCUAAAGAAUGUGCCUCUUUACUGUGACAAUGAGAGUGUCAUCAAGAUUGCCAACAAUCUAGUUCAGCACUCGAAGACAAAGCAUAUUGAGAUUCGGCAUCACUUCCUCAGAGAUCAUGUUAUGAAGGAAGACAUUGAUAUCAUCCAUGUCAACACUGAAGAGCAACUGGCUGAUAUCUUCACAAAGCCCUUGGAUGAGAAAAGGUUUUGCAAGUUGCGGUGUGAGCUAAAUAUCUUGGAAUUCUCAAAUGUCCUGUGAAUGGGACACACAUCCUAACACUUAUGCAUUUUGAUGACUUAGAUGUGCAACACACGAAGUAACGUAUAUCUUCAAUCAAUGAAGACAUACACUCCAAGUGUGAAUACAUUAAUGCGGAAUUUGACUUCGGAGCGCCAGGAUAAUUGUGCGCCGUGUCUGAGUCUAAUACUUUCUAUACGGUGGGUAACACCACCACCAAACUUUUGUUUGAGGUGCUUCUCUUAGCGUUAUGUUUGCAUAGUCUUCAUAACUGAGUUGUCUUUAUUUCUGACUUAUAUUCGAAUUUAUCUUCAUAUGAUUGAUUUGGCCUUAAACUGGUUGCAUACUAUUUGUGUUCUGUCCUCCACGGCAUUCACUUAUAGUUAUGACUUCGUGUUGAAUCUUUUAAUCUAAGUGAAUGUGAUCGGACCCUAACCUAACUAUGCUUCUACCUCAACUCCAUCUGUCCAAAUCAUAUGCAUUCUAUUGAAAACUGUCGAUUGUCUUCACUGAAUCUUGUCAGCUGAAGUCAAUCUGACAAACAUUCAUGUUUGUUUUAAAUGUGCUAUCUUUAUUACCGGAAAUCCGAAGAAUUCAGAACGACCGCCCCCACAAUCCAGGCGUGCGUGGGAACAUGGAACAACUACCCAGGAGUUGCAUGCACGCCACGUGUCAUUCAAAUGUGAAUCGCCAGGGGCACCUGCGUAAUUACGCUGUGCUGUCCCUUUCCUUAUAAAUGCACAUCCCAUCACGGUCAAAAAACUUUCUUCCACCUCGCCACCUCCCGAAAACCCUAGCGCCACCGCUAGCACUCGACGACGCCGGCGAUGAAGCGCUUAGGUGUCGCGACUUCUCCGACGCCGUCCUCACGCCGGCCGCGACCUCAUCUUCUCUGUCGCCACCGUAGCUGUCUCUCGUCGCCAAGUUAGGGCACGAGAGAUUGAACUGCUCGGCCUCAACUUUUCCUCCGUCUAGCAGUUCUUCCUGUGGUAAUUAAAACUCUCUUUUUACUGUCUUUUUGAUCUGAUAGAUUCAUCCUUCUUUACCAAAAGUAGUUUCUACAACUCCAAAGUUGAAUCUAUCACACUCUGCAUCUCAUAAUGUGCCUAGAAUGUUCACUUAUGCUUCAUUACAAGUUAGAUUCCUCACUUGUACUUAUUUCCGGAUUUGUACAACUCUGGAACCAACUCACAUCAACUAAGUGAAUAUCUUCGCGUUAUGAGGUCAAUGUCUUCAAACUGAUUUAUCUUCAAAAUCAUCUGAGAAUGCAUAUGACCUCUUCCCCUUUCCUCGCAUCUCUAAUGCUGUCACAGGUACAUGUCCGUGGGAGAAUCCCUUGGUUCUCAUAGUCUGCAUUCAUUUGCAGAAUUCUUGCAGAGUCACAUCAAUUCACCUGAAGCAAGUUCUUGUCUGACUAGCCGCAAGAAGCCAUUGCACGUUCUGAAACCCUUCAGCUUAAACUUCAUGACAACUGAAAAGUCAGCACGAAAGGGAGGCAGACAGCGCCGUGGUAACACUUCAAAGGAUUUGCCUCCUGAUCUUCACGAGCUGUACAAAACUGAUCCUGAGGAAACCUAUACCGGCCGCAAGAAUCGAAUCCAGUGGAUUCGAAGAUAUUGGGCUGAAGAAUGGUUCAAAUACCGCUUCGUCACUGAAGAAUAUGCAGAGAAAAAUGCCAUCAAGACACCCUGGGGAGAUAUUGUGUACAAAAAUCUUCAACCCCAGUCUCUUUCCGAAGCCAUCCAACUGGAAUUCUAUCCUUGCAUGGUUCGCGGACCAGAGCUAGAGAAUGCUGACCCUUCUUCUCUGCUAUGGUGUCGCGAAGACCAUCUCUUUAAGCGCAAUUACCAGUUCGCCAAAGACUCAGCUGCGAAGAACAAGAAGGCUCUAGGGCUCAACUUCAACCCUUGUCCUUCCUCACCUCGGGAUGAUGGCACCCGCGAAGCCAAUGAGAAUAGGAUCGGUCCCUUCUACAACUUUGAAGGCCUCCUCGCUCACAUAGCUGUACAAGGUGCCAAGGUGGAUCAUUCUGAUGAUGAUGCUGACACAGAUGAAGCUCCUGCUCCUACUCCAAAGCCGCAGAAGCAAAAGAAUGCUAAAGCUUCAAAACCCUCUGCUGCACCAAAGGCUUCUCGAGUGAAGCCGUUGGCAACUGCCCCUCCUGCUCCAAGCAACGCCUCUGAAGAUCUCUCUCGCAUCUCUAAGAAGCGUGAGAAGCCACAGAAGAAACCUGUUCAGAGACUCAGUCAAGCACUGACACCAGCUGCCGUUCUGAGGAAUGAAUCUGAAGCCAUUGAUUUGUCUUCAGAUGAAGAAUUUGGUGAGGAUGCUCUGGAGCAGCUGAUCAAGAGCAAGCAAGAGGCGGAGAUCUUCAAUGAUCUGCCCCUCUUUGAUGUGAACAUCUUGCACAAUUUCAUUGAUGAGUGGUUCGACAAUCAAAAUCUCAGCUUUGAUGAUCUCCAACUCCCCAUUGGCAUCAGCGUCGCCUUCCAAGGCGCAAUUGCUCCUGAGCUGGCUCUGGCCCAGCGAAUUGUUGAACUGAAACACAAGAUUGAUUUCGAGAAGGAACAGUUCAAGAAGCAUGUGGCCAAGCUGAGUGUGGCUGAUGUCCAAAAAUUCAAGGUGAUGCUGAAUGACCUUAAAGAAGCCUUUCGCAAGAAGCGUGAAGAAGCCAAAGGCUCAAGAGAACGCAUGAAGAUUCUUGCUGCCAAAUGUGUUCAGGCUUACAACGAAGCUGAAAAGCGCAAGGCACUUGGGCGUCCUGGUAUUGACCCCAAGAUGGCUGUCAAGCAAAAGAAGAAGUCUACUGUGGCCCCCACUGAAGCUCCAAGGCGGGAAGAACCUCGCAUUGUCUUCCCUGCCAGCAUGAUAGGCUCGAAGCCUAAGGUCUCCACAGUGGCUUCAGAUCAGCAGAAGACCAAGGCCGCUGAAGCCGAAGCCAGAAAGCGCAAAAUCAAGCGCACUACUGAUGAUGCACCACCCCAAAGAAGAGAACGACCAAGAAGAAAGAUCGGGCUGCUUCCAGAGAGCCCCUAGUUGUUGAACCCAUUGCUUGUGCUCCCCCUCCAUCCAACAAUCAAGAGCGUCAGUUGAUUGUUCAUGAGCCUGCUUCCACAGAGGCUCCUGAAGAACAAGAAGUUCCAGUCGUCGAUCCUAUCGCGACUGAAGACAUUGGUCCCCAAGACAAUGUAGAAGAUGAUGAAGUCCUUCCUCAGAUUCAGAACCCCACAGUAUCAUCGCCUGUUCUCAUGAACAACGAACUCAUCAGUAUUGGUCGUCCUUUGAUGCCAAUCACACAGGAUGCUUCAUGGGCUGAUCGCCCCCAACCAGAUACCCUAGUUCAAGACUCCCCAAGUACACCGCAUCCUACGCCAACGCAAGGUACCAGUCCAAUUGUCAAUGAUGACAAUUACAUGGAGGCCACACCAUCAUCGAAGACGUCACCCGUGUUUCAACGGCUCCACAAAGGCCUGAGGCCUUCGGUCUCCAUGACGACUAUCAGGAAGAGGAUUCACACCAAUCCAGCUCAGUGGCACGUCAAGUGUUUCCUGAAGACAAUCCUUCUGUGAUGGUUCCUGUGCCCGAAGCUAAUGCUUCUGAAGAGAUUCCGGCUGCAACAGUCGAUGACAGACAAGAAGAACCUGUUGCCACACACCCCACAAAUCAAGAAGUUGUUCUCGAGGAGAACGUAUCUGUGCCCGACCCUCCAGCUACACAAGUGGAGGUUGAGAAUACUGAGGCGGCCACCAAUAACGCCACUGAAGCCAAUGACGUUGUCAUGGCUGAAGCCAAUGUGGCACCUCAAGUCAAUACAGUGAAUGAAGCCAAUGCUGCACCUGCAUCCAAUGUGCAGCCUGAAGCUAAUGCAGAUGCCACUGCUCCUGUUCCGCCUCCAAGGCCACACACAAUUAAGCAUGCAUUCUAUCAAGGCGAGCUUGUUCCUGUAUGAUGGCCAAUUCUGGUUCCUCCGCCUGCUCCUGGACCACAAUUUGACUACCAUGUGGAGCAUAGGCCUCAGGUUCAGAAGCCAAAACCUAAGACUGCCCAGAUUCCCAGGUUCUGCAUCAGCACCAGGCUCCUUCAAUGUCAACGGCUUCAUUGCACACAACACCUUCUUCGAUUCUGGCAAGAACCCAUAUUCCAAGCCAAGAAUCUCAUCAGAUCGGUUCUGGAGCUACCACCAGCGCAGCUACUACUCCUGCAUUCUAUACAAUCAAGAGCGCAUAUUUCCUCAUAUGCGUCUGGACACUGAAGUCGUUGCUGGUCUGCCCUGCCUUGAAGAAGCCCUAGACUGCUUUCGUGAUGCUGGCCUUCUGCAGUUUGUCACCGACAAGGAACAUUGGAAUGAAGAGCUUCUCCUGCAAUUUUAUGCAACCCUCCACAUUCGCGGCUACAAUAGGGAUACAACGACAUUGGUCCUUGAGUGGAUGACGGGCAACGUUCAUCAUGAAGCCAAAGCCUUUGAUCUCAUUGAGCUUACCAGCCUCUCCACUCCAGGCGAACUGUAUGAACCAGGUUGUCAGCUUCACCGCGAUGCAUUGGAGAGCAUCUUUUAGAAGCUUGAGCCCAACAUAAGCCAGAUGCUCAGUAUGAUGAAGCCACUGCCCUCGGAUGCUGAGUAUCCCAAGGAAUUCCUUGUUGAAGACCUUGAGUAUCUGCCACGCACAAUCUAUCAUAUCAUUCGGCGAACUCUAUGGCCGAUGAAGGGGCAUUCCUCCUCAGCAAAUCUUGAAGGAGCAAUGAAGACAUUGGUCUUCUACAUACUCAAUGGCAAAAGCUUCAAUGCUCAAGAUUUCUUCAUACGCCAGUUUGCUGCAUCUGGGUCUGACAUUUCCGGUCUCAAAUUUUAUGCUCCUUGGGUUAUGCGUCUGAUUAAGCUGCACUCUGCUGUUGACUAUCAGCCCUCUGCACGCAACCAUAUUAUCUUCCUGCCAGAGGUUGAUAUGUCAGUCGAAGCCAUUUACCCAGAGCCUGCCAAGGAAGCGCUAUAUCUUCACAAUGCAGAUUGUCAGAGUUUCACUCAGGAUGUUGAAGGUGUUCAAGCUGUUUCGCGUGUCUAUCCAUUGGCCAGCAACACUCGUCGUGCACGUACUGAAGCCAUUGAAAGCACCAUUGCGCCAAGGUCUCGCAAGCGCUCCCGUGUACUCUAUGACCAUGAGCUUCUUGUGGCCCUGCAUCGGAAACAAGACAAGCAUCACUUUUGGCUGAAACGGCAGAUGCAAAGCCUCUUGAUGGAUGUUAAUCACAUUCGCAAUCUUGCUACCAAGAAUGCUUUUGUCACUCAUGAAACCUGUCGGAGGUCCUGGAAGAGUCUAACAUUACUAAGUGUUGAAGCUGAUCUUCAAGACGAUGGCUUCACUGAGAGAUUCAAGUUCGACUCCACUCCUCCACGGAAUGAUGUGCUACGUCAAACCCCAUCUCUUGAAGACUCAGAAUACUCUUCCUCUGCAGCCACUGUUCACGCUAGAGUUAUUGAUGAAGCUGAUGAUGCUACCUCACCACCUCCAACCUCAGCGCAUGUCAACACUGCACCAAGUUCUUCUGCACCACCUAACCUCAACGACGACCCUACUGCUUCACCUACUCCUCAUGGGAACGAGUAGCGACUAUGUCUUCAAACCUUUUUGGUCCUUACUGACAAAAGGGGGAGAAGCAUAUGUUGAUAGUCUUCAAGCGGGUCCAUAUGGGUGGUUGCUAUACUUUUGCGCGGUGUUUACAACUCUCGUUUUUGAUACAUUUGGUUCUUUGAGUUGUAACACCUAAACUCGAUGGUUGUCUGCUACUUUUUGCUACUAGUCUGUGAUGCGACGAUAAAUUCCGCAUAUGCGAUGUUAAAUCUCGCAUGAAGUCAUGUCGCAGACAUCCAUCUUUCAUUAUGCAUGUCAUUAUCCUUGUAUAUCUUCUCAUGCAUGAUGCAUUGUCUUCAUAUGGUGAGAUGGAUCACCACAAGUACAACCUGCCAUGUGCAUUUGCAUUCCAACGCAAAACAUUUAUAUGCACAUCUUCAGGGGGAGCCUCUUGCCAUAUAUGAAGACAAUGCCUUAAUCCCCUACAAUUUCACAUACUUUUAUCCCCGUUGAAAACUUCAACCAGUUUGUCAUCAAUCACCAAAAAGGGGGGGAUUGUAAGUGCAUCUAGUGCCACCCCUAGUUGGUUUUGGAGUAUUGACGACAAACCUGGUUAAGGGACUAAUGUGUUUGUGAGAAUUGCAGGAUAACACAGGUAGUAGUCCCUCAUUGAUUCGGUUGACCUACCGGAGAUGACCUCUAAAAAUGUGUGAAGACAUUGAAGACAAUGGUGGUCUGUGAAGAUAUUCACAUUGAAGACUAUGACAUGAGAAGACAUUGAGUGAAGACUAUGGAACGCGAAGACUUAGUUGUUUCAUUGUUUCCUUUUCUUCUUUGUUGAGUCAUAGGAACCACCGCACUGUUAAGUGGGGUCCCAGUGAACAAAGUCAGAGUGACUAAAGUGAUGCUCAAACAAAUCCUAUGUCUUCGAGCGAAGACAAUGAGAGCAAAUCUUAUCCAGAGUCGGAUAAGUCAGCUUUACUUGUAGCCCAAGUCAAGCUGCCGCGUGUGUUUGAAAUCUGACCGUUGUGACACGUGUCAGUUCCUUGGUAACCCAGGGUCAUUUCGGACAAAUCAGGUCGGGUUGCCCUGUGGCUAUAAAUAGCCCACCCCCUACACCAUAAAUUGGUGGCUGCUCAGAGUUAGAUACGGCUUUUGUCGUUUGAGAGCAACCCACCUCCGAAGCUUUUGAGAGAGAAUCCUUGCGAGGAUAAAGCCCAAACCAUCCAGAGCCCAGAGUGUGUUUGGCAUCACUGAAGACUUUGUGUCCGCGUGAUCUCAAGACUUGUUACACUUGAGGACUGUGAAUCCUCCAGCCGGUUAGGCGUCACGUUCUGAGCAUCCAAGAGUCAUUGUGGAUUGCCGGUGAACGAAGUCUGUGAAGGUUUGGAAGUCUACCUUGAAGACUUACCUGAGUGAUUGGGCGGGGACUAGGUGUCCUUAGCUCAAGGGGAAUAAGGUGAAGACGCGGUCUUCUGAGUUGAAUCUCAGCCUCCCUAACCAGACGUACAGUUGUCACAAUAACUGGAACUGGUCGAAUAAACCACUGUCUCCCUGAAGCUAUUGGUUCUAUCUCUUACUUCUCUUUACUUAUCGUUUGUCUUCGUGAAGUCUUUGCCUGAUUGCAUAAUCUGUUUGACUUCACAGUUUGACUACUUGUUCUGAUUGGCUUCAUACUAUCUUCCACCCUGAUCCUUACUACCUAGCUGCUAAUAGUCUUCGUGCUUUCACUUCAUUGAAUACUUGACUAUGGCUUGUCUAGUGUAGUCUACCUUCCGCUGCAUACGAAUAGUGUUGUUUCUCCUGUUUGUCUUCAAAACUCCCAUGUUUUGAAGACUUUCAUAAAAAUCGCCUAUUCACCCCCCCUCUAGUCGAUAACUAGCACUUCCAGUACCUCCAAUGGCCACCAUGAUGGACAAGAAGAUGCUCGAGGAGGAGAACAAGCGCACCGGGGCGUGGUGGUUGCUUGGCGGCUACCACUCGACGCAGCCUCCGCCAUGCCCGGACUCUGGAUUUGAGGAGAGCUUCAGAUCCAAUAUGCGGUGCUAUUCCCGGUCACCGAGUCCAUCUUCGUCCACCGUGAAGGAGAAGCGGGUUGACGAGGAGGAGAUCGGCUAGGCCAACCUUGCGAGGAGGACUCGGUAGAGGAGGAGCCGCCGCAGCCGCCCAUGCCCUGCGGCGGCGAUAGAUGGCGAGUUCCAGCAGCACACGGAUUGCACCGUGGAACUCGUUGAGCGACUAGGGUCCGGCGCCAUCAUCUCCUCUAUGAAACCAUAGUGUCCAGAUUAGACUCCGUUUGUAGUCAUCCGUGUUGCCCCGAUGCCAAAUGGUGCCUUGCCCUAGUGAAGCAAGAGUCAUCCCAGCCGAGGCUGCGUAGCCACCUUGACUACUAUCUGAGUGGUGGUGGCUCGGGCUGCACAUCGUCCUCGUCGUCGGUGGUCGGGGGAUGCCUCACCAAGGUGGAGAGACACGCCCGGAGUGACACCGGGUGCAGCGCUUGGUGGUGUUCGCCAAGACCGAUGUGCCACCGCCCUAGGUCCUCGCUGAGGCUUGGGCCUUCGAUUGGUUCAAGACCACCAAGAAGAUGGUUGCCCGCCGAUGGCGCCGUCCGAACUAGCAGCUCCUCCUUUUCGGGCUGGUCGAGACCGAGUGCUUGAUCCGCCUCCAAGCCAACAAGAAGCGACCCAAGGUGGAAGAGGUGGCUGAGUUUCUACGGCGUGAGCAUGACGCCCCGGCCAUGGACAGUUCGCGCGACGGCUAGAGUUGUAUCCUCCACUGGCGCGACUAUGACGACUCAAACAGCGGCGGCAACUGUGGUGCCCGUGGGCUUGGAGGCCAUGCCUACGAGGUGGUCGUGCGCUACUUAGCCUAGUUUUAGUUUAGUUAUGUUAAGUUAAAUUUGAGUAGUUUCGAUGAAACUUGUUAAAUCUUAUCUAAUAUGCAUGUAAUAUAUCGUACUAGGUUUAAUUUCGUUUUUGAAGUGUUCGGACGAGGGAAAUUACGGAGACGAUUUUGGAUGGCCGGCGCCGGCCAGAUGACCGCGGACACAUCAAAUUGGUCAUACAAUGCAAUAUAAAACAAAUACCUUACACUCAUUCAACAAAACUAAGUGAGACAAAUAUCUAAAAGCCAUAGUGAGAACACUUAGUGAUUUGAAUGUGAUAUGUACAAUCCAGUGGCACCCUGCUUUGUUUGUACAUUGGGAUCUUUGUCCAAUGGUCCAAAUGGCUAGAUCCUAUGUAUCCACCUAAUGGUCUGAUCCUAUACAAGUUGCUCCCCAGUAAAAUGUACUGUAAAGAAAUCUCUGAUAUUUCGAUUCACAUAGAUAUGGUGAUUUUGCGCACUGCACAGUCUUCAACAAGUUACUUUCAUAGUUAAUAUUCAUACAAAUAUGUUGGUAAGAAUAUAUAGAAAAACAUGUAUCAUGAAAAUAUUUUCAUCAGGACAAUUUUGCUUAAUUAUUGUGAAGCAUUUCCUCUUAUUUAGCGCUCUUGUUGGUAAGAUCUAAGAAAUGACAGGAUACAAGAGAGGGAGAGAUGGUUGAAAGGGGGUCCUAAUUUGAGGUGGGCACAGGUGGGAUGAGAAGGGAUUAGGUGCAACAUUGAGGAUGAAAAUAGAGGGUUUACGCAAAAUGUCCAUGCCCUGGCCACCUUGCUAAAUCUGGAUAGCUCAUUCUUUAUUCAAUGGUGCAGACGAUUGGAUCCUAUGUAUUCAUGUGUCCACCUAAAGCCCUGAUUCUAUACAAGUUGCUCCCAUACUGGGAUUUUACUAGUGCUAGAGGAGACUGAGUUAGAUCUGUCAUCGAUUGCAUCGGCGUUCUUGACAUCUUCUGUUUGGGCAUUUUUAUUUUACCGAAAAAGGCUUUCGCCCCGCUUUAUAAAUAAAGCAAACCGCCACAGAGCAUACAAACCGAAGCAAGUCCACACACACCCACCCAAGACUCACGACAAAGUACAUAGGUUCUGCUGAGGGCACAGCUCAACAAGCCCAAAAGGAAAAGAAAAACAACACCCACACACCAAACACAAGGCGUCUAGUCAGGAUCCGGCGGAGGCGGCGGCGACAGGCGGACGGCCAUCGAACGGAUGUUGGCGAUGAAGGCGGAGAUGGCGUCACAGUUCGGGGGGCGGCUAAGCGGCCGCCAAAGCUGCAAGAAACCCGAGAAUUUGUAGAGAGCGUCAGUAGCGCGGCGAAGGGGAGCGUGCUAAAUCACAAGCUUAUUGCGAACGGUCCAAAGAGUCCAGGCGAGAACGCCAACCUCAAGCCACCUAAUGUGGCGAGAGGACGCGGAGGACAACUGGAGUUCAGCAAAAAGGUCCGGGAAAUUGGUGUGGCACCAACUACCACCGACCACCUCGCGAAAGCAGCUCCAGAGGAACUGGGCGGAGACGCGGGAGAAGAAGAUGUGGUUCGAGUCUUCAGGGACUCCACAGAGCGGGCAGAUACCGGUGCCCGGGCCAUUGCGCUUGCAGACCUCCACUCCAGACGGGACCCGGCCGCGAAUCCACUGCCACAUGAAAAUGCGGAUCUUCAGGGGAACGCGGACGGACCACACCGUCGAUAGGGGGAGGGGAGCGGAGGAUGGGGCAAUGGCCGGGUACAACGACUUGGUGGAGAACAAGCCCGACGGAUCCAGACGCCACCGCACAAGGUCCGGUCUGCCAUCCACCAACGGCUCAUGCAACGCAACGCAAUCAAGCAACUCACGCCAGGCGGCGGAUUCCGCCGGCCCAAAAGGCCGACGGAAAGCAAGGCGCCCUAAGUCAAGAAGGGCCCUAUUGACCGAAAUCGUGGGGUCGACGGAGAUAGAGAAGAGGGCGGGGAAGCGGGCCGCAAAGGGAGCGUCUCCGGCCCAACGAUCAAACCAGAAAAGCGUCGAGAGGCCGGAUCCCACCGAGAUGGAGGUCCCAAUGCGGAGCACCGGGAGAAGCUGGACAAUAGACUGCCAGAACUGAGAGCCGCCCGAUUUCUGGCAGAAGGCUAGGGGCUGACCCCGCAGGUAUUUAUUCCGGAUAAUGUCGAGCCAGAGGCCACCUUGACCCUGGGCGAUGCGCCAGAGCCAACGGGAGAGAAGGUCAAUAUUCAUCCUUUUAGAGCACAUGAUGCCCAGACCACCUUGCUCCCUGGGCUUGCAGAUGUCAGGCCAGCUGACCAUGUGGUACUUUUGCUUAUCAUGCUCGCCAGCCCAGUAGAAGCGGGACUGAAUUUUGGCGAUCUCCUUGUGGAGAGAUUCAUGGAGGCUGUAGAAACUCAUAAGGAACAGAAGGAGACUGGAGAGGGAAGAGUUGAUGAGAAUAGUCCGGGCCGCCUUAGAUAGCCAUCUCCCCUGCCAGGGCUCGCAACGGGAUUGGAGCUUAGUCACGGAGGGCCGCAGGUCCGCGACGGAGAGUCGCGAGUCGCUAAUGGGAGUCCCCGGGUAGGAGGUGGGGAAAGAGCCCAGGCGGCAAUUAAGUCUGUUGGCGAUGGCCAUAGACUCAGAGGGGGAAUAUCCCAUAACCAUGACAUCACUCUUCUCAAAGUUGAUCUUGAGGCCCGACAUCUGUUGGAAGCAGAGAAGGAGGAACUUGAGGUUGGCGAUGUCCACCUCCGAGCCUUCGACCAUAAUGAUCGUGUCGUCAGCAUACUGGAGGAUGGAGAUCCCCGAGCCCCCAGAAAGGUGUGGGGUAAUCCCGCGGAUGUGGCCAGCGGCUUUUGCCUUAUCAAGGAUGGAGGCAAGAGCGUCCACUACCAUAUUGAACAAGAACGGGGAGAAGGGGUCGCCUUGGCGCACCCCACAAAGGGUAGGGAAGAAAGGACCAAUCUCGCCGUUGAUGUUAACCGCCGUGCGACCGCAAGAGACCAUUUGCAUGACUCUAGUGAUCCACCGGUCAUCAAAGCCCUUCCGAAGAGGGACUUCCCUGAGGAAGGUUCAGCUAACAGAGUCGUAGGCUUUGUGGAAAUCGAUCUUCAGAAAGACCGCCUUAAGGCGUUUGACCCGGACCUCGUGAAGGACUUCAUGAAGGACCAGGACUCCAUCUAGGAUAUAUCGGCCCUUAAUGAAGGCCGACUUGUUAGGGUGGGUUAUCCGGUCAGCAAGCAGGGUCACCCUAUUGGCGUACCCUUUGGCCAGGAUCCGGAAGAUCACAUUAAUGACCGUGAUCGGCCGGAACUGGCGGAUGUCGGACGCCCCAGGGACCUUGGGGAUGAGAGAGAUGAUCCCGUAGUUGAGGCGCCCCAGGUCAAUAGAGCCAACAAAGAAUUCCUUGAAGAUGGCCAUGACUUCUGGUUUAAUCACGUUCCAGAAGGUCUGGAAGAAGAUGACUGGGAGUCCAUCCGGGCCCGGAGCAGAAGAAGCAUUCAUACCCUUGAUAGCCUCCCAGACCUCCUGCUCAGAGAAGGGGGUCGUCAAGGCCGCGUUCUCCGCGUCGGACACUAGCUGGAGGCCGGCCCAACAAUCAGGGGCGAGGGAGAUGCCGCUCCGAGGAGCGGCAGAGAAAAGGGACCUAUAGAAACCGUCGACAUGGGUCCGGAUGUCGCGGGGGUCCUGGAGGAGGGUCUCCCCAUCCCAGAGAAGGGGGAUGGUGUUGCGUCUACGGCGGCCGUUGGCGAUAGCCUGGAAGUAUGCAGUAUUCGCGUCACCCUUCAGGACCCAUUUCUGCGCGCCCCGAAGGCGCCAAUAAGCCUCCUCAUCGGUGUAGAUCACGGAGAGUUGGUCUUCGAGGUCAUAGCGGGACAACCACUCGUCCGGAGAGAGACCCACCACGUCGGCCCUAAGGUCAAGGGCCUGGAUCGCGGUAAGCAGCGCCUUCUUACGCUCCCUGGCGUCGCGACCAAGGUUGGCCCCCCACCCCUUCAUAAACUGCCUGCCACGUUUCGCACAGAAGUUCCACGCGUCAAUAGCCGAGGGGGGCCGAGGGUGGGGGUGGGCCCGAGCCUCGAUCCACCGCGCGCAGACGGCGUCGGUAAAUCCAGACUGGGAGAGCCAGAAGGUCUCAAAGCGGAAACGAGGGGGAUCGGCGGACGCUCGUCCGCGGAGGAGAGAAGAAGGGGGACAUGAUCCGAGCCAAUCCUAGUGAUGGCGCGGAGAGAGGCUAGGGAGCAAGGGAGGUCCCACUCCGGGGACAUUAAGACCCUGUCCAAGACGGACUGGGUCGGGGAGGCUUGCCGAUUGGUCCAGGUGAACCGGGCACCAAUCCUAUCAAUCUCCCGGAGGGCGAGGUCAGCAAUGAAGUCAUUAAACAACUGCAUCCGGGCAAAGCAGACAUUGUCAUUGCUCUUGUCUUCCGCCACGCGCAGCAGGUUAAAGUCGCCACCCACUACCACGGGGAGGGAGGCAGCCGAGAUCUUCCGGUGGAGCUCCUCAAGGAAGGCGGCCGACCGACUAUGGUCGGCAGGCCCGUAGACAAUGAUGAUCUCCCACUUGAAGUUGAGAGAUCUCUCGAAUAAUUCCAUGCUGACGAAGAAUUCCCCCCGAUCCAUGCUGCCCACCUCGAAGGUGGCAUCCUUCACACCUAAAAGGAUGCCACCCGAGUGGCCUGAGCUCCCACUAGAAGGGAGCCAGUGCCACGCAAAGAGGUGGGAGCUCAAAUGGUCGAGCUCAGGGAACGAGAAGUCGCGACGCAUGGUCUCCUGAACGGCAACGAUGUCGAUGUGCUCAUCCCGCAUGUACUCCACAAGUUGGCGGCGACGACCAUCAUGGCCGAAGCCGCGGAUGUUCCAGAAGAGGGCUCGCAUUAAGGAGCCAUCGGGGGGCUGCUUGACCCCAGAACACGAGAAGCGCUUUGCGCGCGAAGAGCCGCAGUGCGGGAGCGAGUACGGCCACGGAUCUCCGCCCCGGCUGCCGCGGACCAGGCGGGGUGGGAGACACCCCCACCGCAGAGGCGGCCGGAGGUAAAAGGAGGGCUGCACGGGCCUCCGCGAGCUUCCCAUCAAGGAUCUCACGAGCUCUGAUGGCCGCGAUCUGGACUAAAGGGGGGCCAGCCUCCCCUCUGAAGAUGAUCGUGGAGUCGGAGGCCACUUUGGCGAGGUUAAUCCCGAGUUGAAGGGCUUACGCAAAUUGCUUCUGCCCAACCCGGGACUACUCCACAUAUAAAUACAAUUGCACAUGAAACUAUCAGCGCAAGUGUUUUGAGAGAACCAUAAACCAUACCAACUUGAGUACUUAAUUACACACUGAUGCCUCUUAUGGGAC